AUAAACUAGCAUCUUAUUUUCUUUUUUUUUUUUUUUUUCUAAGAAUGUAAAUAUCAUUUCAUGAAAUGAAAGUUUAGGUAUUACAUCAAGUAAUUCCUAAAUACAUGGUUCUAUGCCAAAAAAGUUUUAAAAACAAAGAAGCAUAAACAUUCGAGCUUCAAAUCAACAUCUAAAACCACAAGCGGUAAAACUAAUGGGACGUCGAGAAGAGAACUCGAUAAAAUGACUCCCCUAAGGAAAAGAAGGCAAGAAACAAGAGCAUAAAGGGAAAUAGGUGGACAUCAGACUGUUGUGGAAGCGAAGCGGAAGUCCCUUCAACGUGAGCCCGAAACCAAAAAAAGCAGCGGAGCAUCACGAGCUAAAGGUGGCAGGCAAUGUUGUUCUCUACCGAGACCCCAACAGUAGCGCGAACAAAGCAACAUCAUAUCCUCCAAAAGCCAUACUAACACCUCCAAAAUGCAAAGAACAAUCACAGUAAACCACAACCAAACUGAAGUUUCACUAGCCACUACAAAUACUUAGCUGAUGAAAGAGAGCGAAAGGCAUUGAAGGAGGUGAACUAAGGUAGCAGAAUAAACUCAAACAUCAAGUAGAAAAGCUAACAAGCGCGACAUAGCCGGAGUUGCGUGGACAUGCCAUCGAAUCUGCGACGCAAGGCUAACCUCAAAACCUGUAUCAAGCAAAGACAACUACUCCUUCCGGCUGAAACUCACUAGAAGCCUGAACAAGCAGAAAGAGACUCGGGCAAAUCAAGUCUAAAGCAUUAAGUCUGCAAUGACUUGGGAGAUGGCACGAAUAGCGAUGGAACCCGGUGACCAAAGGAGCAAGAGAAGUCGGCUCUUGAAAGGAGGCAAUACAAAUAACAACAAUCUUCAUGAAUAAUCCAUUCCCUCUGCAGACCUAUGAGCUGAAGAUCGGAACAACCAGGAUUCUGCAACCUAAUCACUAACCACACCAACCUAAACUCCAACAAACAACAGAGCUCACUGUACUCAACGAAGAGACAAUAAGACAGGGAGACCAACGACUCUAAUUCACAGAGCGGCAGCAGCGGCGAACAGCUUGAAGACUAGCAGCAAACGAAGGAAGGAGGAGAGCAGAAGCUUACCAACACAAAGGCGGAGUAACAAAACACCGCCAAACCUCUACCAAAGGAAGAUCCGCCGCACGCCAAAGGGAAGGAGAAGAGUGAUGAAAGAGACCACAAAUCUACAAACCACUUGCCAGAAAAGCCAUAGCACCACUUGAUAAAAAAUCAAGAAGUCGAGCGAAGCUAAACAACACUCAAAAUCACCAAGGUUCACCGCGUGUAGAGACGUCCUAAAAGUCACCGUCUUCAAGCAACCAUAUAAGGAGCGAGCACGCCGUGGCGGUGAAUUUACCGAAAACGCUGAAAGGUCCCCAACAAGUCGACGCCUUUUCAAUCGAAGGAAGAGUUUCCAGAGAACGAAGCCACUUAGAUCUGUCACCAACGCUCGUCAAAUCACAGUUGUGAAGGUGCCCAACCGAUGAACGGAGAACCGAGAAGCCCUCUCACGGCCAUGGCGAGAGGCGCCAAUGACCGGAGAGGCAAGAACUGCGGCAGAUCUAGGUUUUACAAGCAGUGGCUGUGGGGGGAGAAAAAUCGCAUGCGCGUCUCGGACACGCGCCCGACUUCGAGGUUUAGUCUUUAUUUUUUUUUAUAUUUUUUUUUAAGUGUAAUUUUCCAAUCCACAAAAAAAAAGACAAAAUUACAAAAAAAAAUCAUUUUUGCCACAACUAAAUAAACCGGCCGGUACAAAUUUCGAAUUUUGGUGUCAGAUUUUGUAUUUUUCCAAACCACAAAUAAAAUUGAAACAUAAAUAUUUCAAUUUGGCCACAACUAAUUAAACCGGGCCGGUACAAAAGCUGUAUUUUGUUUUUGGAGGUUUCUUGCUUUAUCACCACCGCACAUCUUCGUCUUCCUCGAGCUUCCUCUCCACGGCGAAGAGUCAACCCAAAGCUUCUUCUUCUUCUUCUUCUUCUUCUUCUUCUUCUUCUUCUUCUUCUUCUUCUUCUUCUUCUUCUUCUUCUUCUUCUUCCUACAUAGCUCUUGUGUAAUCUCAUGGUCUUACUAUGAAGGCUUCUAACUUCAUGUGGCCUUCCACAUCACCCAGAUUCACCAUCACCACACCUUAUCCACACCCACACUUACGCCUCCGCACGUAACCUCACGCGCCGCCCCAUUUUUACAGGUAAAAGCUUUCCAGCGCGGUGACUUCGACCGUUUCGCUGAUGAUGUUAAGUCCGGUAAAGCUUGGAGAGAUGCAUGGAGAACCGCUAACGAUGGAUUCGAACAAUUUGUCUUUGAUGCUAAGAAAACCGCCGAGCGAAUUGAUCGUCAGUACGCUGUUUCUCACCGGUUUAGCUCCGCUGCUAGUUCCGCCGGACCGUGCUCGUGAGAUUGAUCGUGAAUUUGGGAUUAGUCCUUGUGUUAGGAGUCUCUCUGCCGAUUUUAGUAGAAAUUUCCCUAAGGUAUACUUAUGAAUUGAGUUUUUGGUUUAGCUUCUCAUGAAGAUGAACUCAAUUUCAUGUCUUGAUUGUAAUUGAUUAAGUUUUUCAUGUGCUAUGCUAUUAAGCCAUUCUCAUGGUAGAUUUUAGAGUCAAAAAUCCGAACCGGAACAGAUCCGAAAUAUUAGACCCGAUCCGAACCCGAAAUUUUAAAUUUACCCUAUUGGGUCCUAAACUCCUCUACCCGAAAAUCCAAAUCCGAACCCGAACCGAACCCGAACCCAAAAAUACCCGAAAUAUAAAUGUAUAAAAAUAAUUUAGGACUUGAAUACCCGAGUUAUCUAUUCAAAUAUCAUAAUAUAUACCCGAAAUUCUGAUUUUUUACCCAAAAAUCCCGGUAUAUAUUAAAAAAAUUUGAAUUUGUAUCCGAAAAUCUGGGUAUUUACCCAAAAAUUCAGUAUUUGUCCGAAAACCCGGAAAUUUUUGGGUAUUCGGGUAAACUUUCGGCUAUUUGUGGACCCGAAAAAUUCUCGGAAUUUUAACGAUUCUGAAAAUUUUUACCCGAACCGAACCAAACCCGAAUGGACCCGAACCGAAACCAAACCGAAUUUUUAUGUUUACCUUAUUGGGUCCUAAACUACUCUACCCGAGAAACCCGAAUGGUUUUUAUCCGAACCCGAUCCAAGUACCCGAAUGCCCAGGGCUAGUCGCUAUUGUCAUUAUUGAUAAUGUUAUAUUAUCAGGUGGAGCAAAAUUGGGUCUAGCCCAUCACCUAGUUAAUUAUAAAACUUUUCAAGAUAAUAUACGAAGAUCAGAUAAGAAUCUUGAAAAAGAUAUUGGGCCUGGUUAAAAAGUUUUUUGUUCUAUUUUUUAAAGUUGAUAAACAAAGUUCUUUUGCAAACAUAUCAAACCCGUGGAAUAUAAAUGUUCUUUAUUGUAUUAAAAGACGAGUAAAUUUUGUAAGUAAUAGCAGAUUUUAGAGUAAUUUGUAAAUAAAAAAACCCCAACAGAUCAAGCCCAAUAAUUAUUUGAAAAAUUGCAAAAUAUAAGAUAAUCAUCCAAUAAGAUUAAUGGAAGCCCAACAAUAAUAAAAAAUGACUAUCCCAAGAAGGACGGGUCCAUCAAUCAUGUGGAUUGAUCAAUUUUUGUGUAAGGCAUAAAUUGAUCACAGUAGAAAGAUGAGAGAUGUAUCUUGAAAAAGGGAUUGACCGAUCUUAAUGAAUAAUUUUGGGAGACCUCUUGUGGUAACCAAUAAGAAGAAGAACGUGCAUGUGCGGAUUGGUAGGAAUAAAUCGAUGUAGUGAGAAGUUUUCUUCUAAGUGUUCCUACCAACACAAAACUUUGAAAGGUUACCACAGCGAUCCCGGAAGGAAUGCUGGAGUAGUCAAAGGAUGGGGGACCUUCCGGGAAGUGGUUGUCGAAACUGUGUGAGUGAGGCCACAACACAAAGAAAGAUCAUGUGGUGAUUUUUAGGGCCGGUAAACAAGUCUUUAAGCCUCCUGGACGUAGCAAACUGGCCGUCGAAUAUUGGUGGGCUCACAGGCCUAGUGAGAGGACGUGAGGCCCACUAAGAGAGGUGGGCCCAUGGGCUGGUGAUGAACAUGGGGCCCACUAGAGAGGUGGUGGUUGGGGCGUUACACUACGCCACACAUAUGAGGGUCGAUAACCCAUUUUAGUCUCCAAGAAAAGCACGUUUGGGUAAUAUACUGCUUUAUAAACUCUGGCCAGUAGAGACGAAGGAGAUUUAGAAGCCUCCAUGACUGUUUUGCAAGCAAAGCUUGAUUAAACCUGCCAUAUCACGAAAUCCCAAUCCUCCUCUGUCCUUUGAUCUACAAACUUUCUCCCAAGCAACCUAAUGCAUCUUGUCUUUAUCCUCAUGAGCACUCCACCAAAACUGCAUCACAACACUUGUAAUUUGCUUUCUUUGAUGCUUAGUCAACUUUAAACAGGACAUUGCAUAAACAGGAAGGGUCAUUGCUAUAGAUUUUAACAAAACUUUCUUCCUGCCGAAAGAGAGUGUCUUCUCAAACCAGCCACUAAGUCUUGACUUCAAUCUAUCCGUGAUAAAGUUAAGGAGGUCGUGCUUUGAUCCACUAAAACACUCAGGAAGUCUCAUGUACUUGCCAUCACCACCUUCUUGUUCAAUACAAAAAAACAGCCCUAGCAUCUGUUGCAUGUAAGGGUCUAACUUCUUCCCAAAAGUAAUCUCCUACCCCAAAGCCUUUCCAUCCAACUCAAGGCAUUUCAAAUAUUCAGUACACUCUAUAAGGCUUGCUUGAAAAAGGAAAAGACUAUCAUCCACAAAGAGCAGAUGUUGAAUCGAUGGACAGGAAGGUGAAGGUUUCAUUCAUGUUAAUCUUCCGUCAAGCUCAGCUUUAUUCAUGAUGUGCACCAAAGCUUCAACACAAAGAAUGAAGAGAAAAGGCGAUAACGGAUCACUCUGCCGUAGUCCUCUUUGGGUUGAAUAUAUCCAUAUGAAGCUCCAUUAAUAAGAAUAGAAUAUGAGACCAAGGUAACACAACUCAUUAUCCAUUUCCCCCACUUGAUAUUAAAACCUAGCCGACUAAGUAGCUCUUCUAAAAAAGACCACUCAACUCGAUCAUAAGCUUUACACAUAUCAGCUUUAUAACCAUGAAAUCUUCAUCACAACUAGUAUUUGUCUUCAAGGCAUGAAUGAGUUCAUGUGCAAGUAAAAUAUUGUCUAAUAUCAACCGGCCGGAAACGAAAGCUCCCUGAGUAUCCGAGACAAUAGAAGGUAAAAUACAUUUUAAUCGAUUGCACAUAACCUUAGAAACAAUCUUGUAUAGUACCGAACAAAGACUAAUUGGUCGGAUAUCAGUCAUCUUUGAUGGAUUUAAAUUCUUUGGGAUCAAACAAAUCUGUGUGAAGUUCCACUCAGGCGGUAAGGAACCAGAUUCAAAAAACUGUUGUACCUCAGAUAUAACUUGAGGCCCAACAAUGUCCCAAAAAGAUUGAUAAAAACACCCCGACAUGCCAUUAGCUCUUGGGGUACUGUCACCUCUACUGAAUACUGCCACCUUAAUCUCCUCGCCUGAUACUGCAUGCACUAGAGCAGCAUUCAUCAGAGAUGAAACGCGCGGAAGCUAACCAUCCAAAGCUUCUGAAAUGAGGCAUGGAGAGGAGCUCGAGAACAUUUUGCGGAAGUAAUCAACAACCACUUCUUCUUUUGAGCUUUCAGAGAACUGCUCAACACCCAUGUCAUUAAAUAUGGAGAUAAUUCUAUUAUGAACUCGGCGUUGUUUAACACUCCCAUAGAAAAACCGAGUGUUCUGAUCACCGUUACGCAUCCAUUUUUCUUUGCUCUGCUGCUUCCAAAAGAGUUCUUCCUCAUAAUAAGCCUCAACUAAUUUCCACUGUAGAGUUUUCAUAAACUAAAAAUCUGGUAUUAGUUUAGCUCCCUCAAUUUAAUGUUCAUAUAACAGCCUCGAAAUAUUCUCCUGAGAGUUCUGGUUAGUAGAUUUCCAGAGAGAUAUAGACCUUCUACAAUCCUCAAGACGGCUCAUUAAGGAAUAGUUAUCCAAAGCUAAACCUUUUUUUCCAACCCUCUCUACCUCAGAGAAAUCCGUUCUCGAAACCCUCCUUUUUUGAAACAUAAACCGGCCUCGUUACAACGUGUUUUCAUUCACAAACCUUGUGAUGAUAAAGCGAUGAUCAGAGCCAAUCCUUUCCAAAUACUUAGUUUGCACCCUUGGAAAAAGAUGAAACCAAGCUACAUUACCAAGAGCUCUAUCAAGCUUACAUUGCAUCCAAACUUGAUUGUGUUCCCCAGCCCAUGAAAAUUUAUUACCAAUACUAGCAAUUUUCGGUUUACCAGACACCGGAUCAAUGCCAACUUCAUCAUCAGUCAAAAAUCCAAACAAACGAUCAUCCUUACUAAUUUUUGGAACAAGACGACUUAGAAUGAUCGAUUUAAUUCUUCCCGUAGCAACAGCUUGUCGGUUUGAGGGAUUAAACGGGCAGCGUUCCUUGUCAUGAGUUAGCCUUUGACACUGAUUGCAUCGGUGGCGGAUUCUCUCAUACUCCAUGCCAAUGUUAACAUCUCUCCAUAUAUGAUCUAGAGUUCUCUAGAAUUAUUCAAGGGUUUGUUUACAUCAAAUAGAACUCUAACUCUGACAUAUCCCUUGCUUAGUGGUUUCAAGGGAUCAAAAGCAGCAAGAGUAACCUGUCCAAUAUGCGCUACAAUUUCCUUAAUGGUAUCAGCUGUGUUAAAGUUCACCGGAAUAUUGCGACGACGGAUCCAUAUUGGCAGCACUUUCAAGUAAUCAGCUGGCUGUUUUUCCACCCAUCGCUCCAGCGUAAUAUCCAGUCAUUGAAGGUCCAAGCACCGGUAUCUAAGACCGUAGUUAACUUAGACUCUGAAUCAAAGAAGAACUUAAACUGUUCAUUAGAAAGAGCUAUUCCUCUAGCUCUGUUGUACACUCGCCAUAAGUGAGGCAUUUCAUGAAUCAAGUCAGACAUCUUCUGGUUCUCUGGGCACAAAAGACGACCAAUGAUACUACUCUUGUUUCGCAAGCAAGAACAGAACUGCGGAAGGUUUUGCAGCACAAUCGGUUUAUCAUCUUCAAUCGACAUCUCAUGCAAAGCUCUAUCCAACUCAUACUCUAAGACUGCACGUAAUUAACUUAUCAAACAAGGGUUUUGAGCUUUAACACCAGUAGGUUCGACGACGGCUCUCAAGAACACGACGAAAUUGGUUAAAUAUAUAAAUGAUCUCGAAAGAUUCUGUAACAAAAGUGAUAGAAACAGAAAAUAUUCUCCCAAAUCCGGCGAAAACAAAGAUAUUCCCGGUUUACUUAAGUUCUCUCCCUAGAGAUAAAAAUCGCCUCUCUUUUUACUAUGAUUCCUUGUGUCAUGUACUAUUUAUCUAUUUACUCAUUAGUCAUUACCAAUCUAUAUUAACAUUUUUGAAGUACGUUUUGGGUUAUAACCUUUUAUUUUGUAUUAUUUGCAUAAUUAACCCCUUGCCAUUUGAAUAAAUGAAAAACUUUCAAUUAAAUUUUGUAAUUAAAUUAUAAUAAAAUUGCAAGAUUGGAAAUCAAUAUUUAUUACAUUUAAUAAAAUUUCCUAAAAUUCCCUAAUAAAUAAAAUAUUUCUCCAAUAUCUUUAUAUGAUCUUAUUUGUUUUGAAAUUAUAUUAUUACAUAAAACAUAUGUAUAGUAAAAAUAUAAUUUUUUGCAUAUGUAGCAAUUUAAAUUUUUGAAAACGAGCGUAUAUUACUCAAUCGAUACAAAAAUGUAUGUACUAAACUAUUAUUGAUAAUUGUGAUAAUUGUGUAGCACGUGUCAUGUGAUAUAACGAGUUAUAAAUUACAUAUAUGUUUUUAUGGGUUGUCUACUAUAGUCAAGCUCACAAAAUAUUUUAAUUCCAAAUUAGACUAUUUGAACUAAAGAUGUUAUGCCAACAUCAUUUCAUUAUUUUGAAUAUUAGACUUAUAUAGUUAAGUUGUCAAAUUACGAUGACAUACAAACAAAUUAUCAUGCCAUAUUUCAUUAGAUAAAUUAUAGAAUUAACAAUCAAAAUACAGUAGUACAAUCUUAUAAACCAACCAAAAUUUUUUUAAAAAUUCUUUUUUAAAAAUAUCGUCCCGCGGUGUACAGCGGGUUAAAUUCUAGUAAAAUAUUAAAUCAGCACUACUAUAUUAGGAUUUAACAUAAUUUUGUUCAAUUAACUAAAAUCAUAACGGAAAAUCGAAUAGGUUACUAUGUGCAAAUCUAAAGGCUGUGUAGUCUACAAUAUUACAAAUUUCUUGGUCAUUAACAAAAAGAAAGCUACAAGAUUAAGAAUUUUUUGGGCAUAAUACUUUAGUAUUGUGUAUUUCCAUAUUUCUUGAUCUCGUAUAUUUGUGUAUAUUAUCUAGUUUCUAUUGCUUAGAUAUAAAACUUGGGCAAUACGUUUUGUAUGUUUGUGUAUAUACUUCACCUAAGCAUUCUAAUAAAACACAUAAAACAUUAUCUAUUGAUCGACUCUAAAUUUAUCAUGGUAUCAGAGCAGUAAUCGAAUUCUGGGAUUCUCUUUGUUUUUUUUAGAUUUGAUUUCGUAUCUUUGUGACGAUGGCUGAAGAACACAGAGCGAUGGUACCUGCGAAACCGACGGAGAAUCAACGACGAACGAUCUCUCCUUAUGACCAAACCUUGAACGACAACCCCGGAAGCAUCAUCUCACGCCCUUUGUUGUAUGAAGAUAAUUACGAAGAGUGGGCCGUGAAUUUGGACACCGCUAUUUACUCUCGAAAGAAAUUUGGUUUUCUUGAUGGCUCUAUCAAGGAACCAGCUGAAAACUCGCAGGACUAUGAAGAUUGGAAACCUAUCAAUGCUCUCAUAGUCUUCUGGAUUAAGAUGACAAUCGAACCGAAGCCCCUGUCGAAUAUCUCUCACAAACCGAUUGCAAAAGACUGGGGGGAUCAUAUUCGAAGCCGGUACCGUGUGACCAACGGUCCAAGGAUUCAGCAACUCCAACAAGAUCUAGCCAACUGUCAACAAGUAGGUCUUAGCAUUGAGACAUACUACGGACUGCUCACAAAACUGUGGGAUGCUCUCAUCUGCUAUCGACCUCCUUUGGUGUGCACAUGUGGUCAUUGCACAUGUGAUCUCAAUGGUGAGGAUGAAAAACGAAGGGAAGGAAACAAGGUUCAUAAUUUUCUGCGUGGUCUUGAUGAAUCGACUUAUGGAAUGGUGAAAUAGAAUUUGAUGGCUCGAGAUCCUCUACCUACGUUGGCAGAAAUAUACUUAAAAGUUACACAUGAUGAAGAUGCUCGCUUGAAGAAGAAAUGCUUUGAAGAAAAAAACUGAAAAUAUGGCGUUUGUUGCACAAACACAACGACCUCGCUCUCAUUAUGAUGAUAAAACCACAAGCGUUAUGUGCACAAAUUGCGGUCGAGCUGGGCAUCAAGCGGACUUGUUUUCAAAUCUUGGGAUUUCCUUAAAAUGGUGGGGUGAUAGACCAUGGAAUCGAACCGGUCGUGGAAGAGGAACAACUCCGGCAGCUAGUGGUACACGGGGUCGCGGUGGUCCUGCUCGUGUAAACGUUGCAAAGAUUGUUGAAGGACCUGGUCUCGGGGUGGCAAAUGUAGCUGUAACAGAUGCUGACCAUGAUGCUGUUUUGGGACUGACCGAUGAGCAAUGGUUGAGCAUUCAACGAGUAAUGAGUGCAGCAAAAACUGGUACAAGCGAACAAAUGUCUGGUAAGAUACUCUCUCCUUCUUGGAUUUUAGACAUAGGUGCUACUCAUCACUUGACUUGUAAGAAAGAGAUUCUUAAGAACAUACAAAAAUCUACACCAACUCAGAUUAUGCUAGUAGAUGGUAGAGUUGUUACAAGUGAAACAGUUGGUACAGCUGUGUUCAAUUCGCACCUUAGUUUGAUUGAGGUUUUCUACUUUGAGAAUUUGGGCUUUGAUUUGAUCUCGGUAACACAACUAAUGGAAGAAAAUAAUUGUGUGAUGCAAUUUGCUGUUUCAUUUUGUGUUCUUCAUGACCGUACUACGACGACGCUGAUUGGCAUAGGUGAGCCGGUUGGGGGUUUGGUAUAUUUUCGGAACACCGAGGUUGUUGCAGCUGCGAAGGGUCUCACGAAUUAGAGUGGAGCUGUGGCAUCGUCGCUUGGGACAUCCAUCACCAAAAAUAGUGGAGAUGCUUUCUGAUUUCAGUUUUAGUAGUAGUCGUACUUCUAUGAAUAAACUAUGUGACAUAUGUACUCACGCUAAACAAACUCGUUGUUCUUUUCCGUUGAGCAUUAAUAAGACUUCAGAGAUAUUUGAAAUGAUUCAUUGCGAUAUAUGGGGACAAUAUAGAGUUCCGUCUUUCUCUGGGGCUAGAUACUUUCUCACCAUUGUUGAUGAUUUUUCGCGUGGAACUUGUAUAUAUCUCAUGAAUGCAAAGAGCGAGGCACCGACAACUUCAAUUUUGUUUUCCUCUCGUAGAACGACAGUUUGGAAAGCAAAUUCGAUCGUUACGUAGUGAUAAUGGAAGUGAAUUUUUAUCACUAAUGACAUUUUUUUGGAACACGACAUACGUCAUGAGACCUCGUGUGUGGGAACACCGCAGCAAAACGGCCGCGUUGAGCGUAAACACCGUCAUUUCCUGAAUGUUGCUAGAGCUAUUUGUUUCGAAGGUCAUUUGCCUAUUGAAUUUUGGGAAGAGUGUGCUCUAGCUGCAGCGUACCUCGUCAAUCGGACACCAUAUGUGAUUCUACAAGGUAAAACUCCUUAUGAAAAUUUGUAUAGAGUUAAGCCUUCUCAUGAUCAUCUUUGUGUUGUGGGUUGUGUAUGUUAUUUUCAUAAUCAAGACCAUCACGGGGAUAAAUUUGCAAGCAGAAGUCGCAAAUGUGUAUUUGUGGGUUGUCCUGAUGGGAAGAAGAAAGGAUGAAGAGUCUUCGAUUUAGAAAAAGGAAUUUUUUGUGUCUCCUGUGACGUUAUUUUCCGAGAAGACACUUUUCCAUACCAAAAGAACGAUACACAAGACAUUGGUUUGGUCGAUGAGCAUCCAUCGUUGCAACCACAAACCUGUCUCGAUGAAACUCUAGUCUCUCACCCGUCUCUCAUGGAAGAUACACUGGCAGUUGUAAUUCCAGCUGCAGACACGUCGAAUUCGAGUGCAUCUUCAGCGGACGACAGCUCUAACGAUGAUGCAGUGACAAGUAACUCUGAAAAUGGAGAAGAACAUGUUGACUCCAAAAUCGAAGUAGAACUUGAUAUGGAUAAUGCUCCAAUUGCUGUUCGCAAAGAAGCUUGCCAACGACGUCCACCGGGGUAUCUCGCUGACUAUGAUACUAAACUUCUGUAACUGGAUCUACUAGUUUAUAUCAUCUAUCCGAUGUGCUGUCUAACGAACGCUUCUCUGCAAGUCACAAAGUGUUCUUGGCUGCUAUCACCAUUGCAAGCGAACCGAAAAUUUUCUCUGAAGCGAUGCAAGAUGCAUGCUGAAUAGAUGUAGUUGGAAAUGAAAUUACCUCUCUCGAACUGAAUAAUACGUGGACGCUUGAAGACUUACCUGACGGGAAAAAGGCCAUUGGUUGUCAAUGGGUCUUUCGUAUUAAACACCGUGCUGAUGGCUCCAUCAAACGUUACAAAGCAAGAUUAGUUGUUUUGGGAAAUAGACAAGUUGAGGGUGUUGACCAUGGUGAGACAAUUGCUCCAGUUGUUAAAAUGGCAAAAGUACGUUCUUUUCUUGCCGUGGUCUCUGCACGAAACAGGGAAGUAAGAUGGACGUCCAUAACGCUUUUCUACACGGUGAUUUGGAAGAAGAAAUGUACAUGAAACUUCCUCCAGGUUUUUCUAAGCAAAAUGAUGGGACCAAGAUGCUGAUUUGCAUCGCUUAAGAAAGUCUUUAUACGGUUUAAAGCAAGGACCAAGAUGCUGAUUUGCUAAACUUUCGACGUCUUUGGAAAAAUAUGGGUUUCAACAAUCUCAGUCCGAUUACUCUUUGUUUGUGUUCAAGAAAACGGCGACUGAAAUAAAAGUUCUUGUUUAUGUGGAUGAUUUGGUUAUUACGGGAAAUAAUGUUGAAGCAAUCGAAGCUUUCAAAUUAUAUCUCAGCACAUGGUUCCACAUGAAAUACCUUGGUGUGUUGAAAUAUUUUUUGGGAAAUGAGGUAGCUUGAAAUUCAGAAGGUAUAUAUUUGAGUCAGAGAAAAUAUACACUUGAUAUCUUAUCAGAAACAUGACUACUAAGCUCACAACCUGCUGCAUUUCCUCUUGAACAACAUCAUCAACUUGGCUUGGCGAAAGGUUCUCUUCUACCCGAUCCCAAACCAUACCGACGAUUGGUUGGGAAGUUGAUCUAUCUCAACGUCACUCGACCCGACUUGUCUUACUUCGUGAACGUGUUUUCACAAUUCAUGAAAGCUCCUCGUGCAGAUCAUUGGACAGCAGCACUACGGGUCGUUCGAUAUUUAAAAGGCACCCCAGGUCAAGGAAUCUUGCUCCAGUCCUAUUCUGAUCUCCAGAUUUUGGCAUGUUGUGACUCCUCAUAUGCUGAUUGUCCAUUGACUCAACGAUAUACGGUCGGCUGGUUUAUACAACUCGGUGCAUCUCCUAUCUCUUGGAAGACAAAGAAACAACAAGUGGUUAGUAUGUCUUCUGUUGAAGCUGAAUAUAGAGCAAUGGCUUGGACGACAAAGGAGCUGAUAUGGCUAAAGGCAUUAUUUCUUGAUCUCGGAGUUAUUUUGAAGUAACCUAUGCGACUGUUCUGUGACAACACCGCUGCCUUGCAUAUUAAUGCUAAUCCGAUUUUUCAUGAACGAACCAAACAUAUUGAGAAGGAUUGUCACUUUAUAUGCAAUGAGAUUAAAUACGGGAACAUCGCAACAGCAUAUGUCUCUACAAAGAUCCAGCUAGCUGCUAUUCUCACGAAAUCUUUGGGAGAGAUUGAGUUCAGCAUGUUUCGGUCCAAGCUGGGCAUUUUGAACCUCCAUGCUCCAGCUUGAGGGGGGGGGGGGUAAUACAAUACUUUAGUAUUGUAUAUUUCCAUAUUUCUUGAUCUCGUAUAUUUGUGUAUAUUAUCUAGUUUCCUAAUGCUUAGAUAUAGAACUUGGCAAUACGUUUUGUAUAUGUACUUCACCUAAGUAUUCUAAUAAAACACAGAAAACAUUCUCUAUUGAUCGACUCUGAAUUUAUCAAGGCAUGAACACAAAAAUAAGCUACAUGGUGACUCCUCACAAGUUUCUAAUCCAUGAACGUAGAUAGAGAAAGAAGAAGUCGUGAGAACGGUCUCCCUCUAUUAUGGAAGUUGAUAGGCCAAGCCCGAGUGCUUCAGAGGAGUUUGUUUUUUACCAGAGACCUUAGUUUAUCAGUAGAUUACCGCUUCUUGAGUACCUUCAUCCAUGGUUAGGUGUUCUGAAUGUUGCAGCCAAGUUGAUUCAGGUCCAAAGAUGCACGUUUCUCGUGGGAACUAUCAAGAACUUGGUCAAGGCGAUUCAGUUACUCAUCUUCACUACAACAUGCGUGACAUGGUUUACAUGUUAGUGCAUACAUCUGAAGGAACGGUAGAUGCAACAAAAGAGAGGAAAGCUCUGAACCAAGAUCACAAGUUGGAAUCUUCUCCCACAGAUUGUAGCGGAGCUCGAUGGGAUAUCUUCAGGCGUCAAGACAAUACAAAGCUCGCUAAGUAUCUGAAAAUGAAAAGGAGAAAAUUUCAGAACUGAGUAUGAAAAUGAAAAUGAAAAUGAAAAUACUUAAAUUAGAGCAUGGGCAUCAGUAGAACUCAGAGAGAAGUCGGUUUCAUUAUACAGCGACACACAAGGUUUAGAUUAGUGUAUCAUUCAAUACUUAAACCAGCAAACAUAAAAUUUAAAAAUAAAAACAGUUUUGAUACAAACCACAAAAGCAUAACACAGUCUCGUUUAUUAUUCGAUUGAUUCGCUGGUGCCCAAGUUGGUAAGAGAUCAGGUUCGGCUACAAAAACAUAAGAACCAAAAAGAAAAAGUCAAUGAGAUUCAGAAGAAAUGUUCGUCUCUAUUAGAAAAAAAGGUGACACGGUAUAUAUAUGGGUAAAUUGGUUUUUAGAAUCUAUUUUGCCAACAAACACUUCAUUUCUCUUUCAGAAAAGAAAAAAAAGUUUUAUCAAAGAGGCUAAAGAGUUUCUAGACGAUUCGUCGAAUACCUUCAAGGGCUUCAUCCAGUUGAUGAACUUGAAAACCAUCAUAAUCUGCAACACAUAGUCACAUAGCAUCAAACAAGUUCCGAUGAAACUAACUAAAAGUGUAGUUUAGACUAUCUCCGAUGUAUUCCACUAUACAUAGAGAAAAAAACACAGUUUCUCUAUAAAUAUAGGAAAAAAUAGAGUUCUCUAUUAUAGAAGAAUACAUUGGAGUAAAAUUUACCUCUAUACUACAUUUCCUCUAUUUUAGAGAUAAAAGUAGGGGAAUAUGCUCUUACGCAACCUAUUCUCCUCCCACACAAAUAGCUGAGAAAAUCAUAAUUUACCUAUUAGUUCCCGAAUUCAUUCAUUAGGUUGGGUUAUCCAUCUAACAGAAGGGAUGUGUUUGACUUUGUAAUAAUCUUCUCCUCCUUCCGACCAUCUAUUCUUCCAUUCCUCUCCCAUAUUAUAAAAACUCAGAUACUUUAAUGAUCGCAGCACAUCAUCAGGAAUCUCCUUUAGUUUCUUGCAAUUCGAAAUAAGAAGAUAAUUGAGAAGUGGCAUGGAGCCUUCUUCUACUAUCCACUCUUCCCACUCAUCUAAUUCAUGAAAAUGUAGUGACUGCAACUGAGGGAACCCACCCCUAGAGCAAACCAUUCUCCUCCCACAUAAAGAAUUUCCAUGCAGACGAACAAUUUUCAAUUGACCAAACUUCUCUAGAAUGGGCAUCGGAUCCUCCUCCAAACGACAGUCACCUAGGACCUGCAGGCUUGUAAGGCUUGAAGGAAAUAGUAAUUCAUCAGAUAACAAUGUAAUACAUAUCACCAAACUCAGCUGUUGGAGAUUAAUGAAUUCGAAUAGACUUCUCCAUUCUUUCGUCCCCUUAGCAGCCCCGUUAAGUGUUAUAUCAAGAGUUUCCACCUAUCGAUGCAGAUAUGGUUUCUAAACUGCUCUCACCAGUUAAUCUGAUUUGAAGAAUCCUCAACAUGGUCAUACCACAAAGAUCCUCUAAACUGCAAUUCUCUGUUGAGAAAUUAGUCAAGGUCUCCAAGUUUACUAGAUGGCUCAAUUCCAACUUUGUCUUCAUAUGCAUAUCAUAUGGUAAUGUAAGGUUUCUCAAUUCUUUCAUCCCCUUCAAGACAUUAGGCACGAAUAUAAACUCUCCAUCCACCUCUAACUUUAGAUAGAUCAGCAACUUUAGAUUUCCUAGAGAAGAGGGUAGAUAAGAUAUGUCCGCACCUUCUAAGCUCAGAUAUCUUAAGUGGGUGAGCUUUCCAAUGCUAGAAGGUAACUUCCUUCCUUUGAAAGUGACUCUAGGGAGAUCUAAUACUCUCAGCACUUGUAACCUUGUAAAGCUUACACAUGAAACUUCACAACCGUUAACAAUGAGAGAUCGAACCUUUGAAUUAUUUAUAUCUCUCUCAACAUGUAAUGCAGACAGUUCAUGUGAGACAAAUCUUCGGGAUGUACUAAUAGACGGGGAGCUGUUACCGACAAUUUGUAGGAAGUUUUCUUCUUUUGCUUUUGACAAACAAAGAUCUCUCAUCAAGUCAUGCAUACGGCAUUUUUCAAAUCUCCAAGUGGUACCGACUCUUUCAGAUAUAACCAUAUUUCUCUUUACCAAUUCUUCUAUGUUGCUAUCUACAACAACUCUAGUGGUUUCUCCAUUGGUACACUUGACUAUUCCUUCUGCAGCCCAGUAAUAGUGCAAUUUUUCGAUACUUAUUUCGUAAUCUUCUGGAAAAUGGGCCAAGUAGAGGAAGCAAUACUUUAAAUGACCAGGCAGCUCUUCAAAGCUCAGAGACAAUACACGGUUCAAUAAAUUGUUGUUGCCAUCAUUGCCUCUUCCAACGAGAUGAGAUUCAAUAUUCUUAGAUACUCGUUCCCAGUAGAGUUCUGUGUAAUUUUCAGCCAACAAUCUUCCUAACACCCUGACAGCCAAAGGCAAUCCCCCACAAUGUUUAAGCAUUCGUCUACCCAUCUCUUCCAUUUCCUUAGCAACUUUCUUCGGUUCUACACAACAUCAUCAAACAAAUAAAAAAUACAUCAUUUAUACCAUGAAAAGAAUUUCAGUUCAGUAUGAUGUAAUAAUGAUAUACUACAAUAAGCUAUUUUAAAGCUAUGUCUACCGAGACAUAGGUGAUCCUCGUUAUGACGAUGGUCUCCGUCUCUGGUUCUCCACCCGCUAAUAUUUUUAAAUUCGGUUUUAUUUUCCAAAUACUUUCUAAUUUUUCAAACCAACUGAAACAUUCUUUGUACACAUGGUUUUUGAUUGAAUAAAAUUUUACAUUCAAUUAAAAAAAAAAGCUAUGUCUUGCGAUCAUCCCUUCUUGAAUGCUUACCAGAUCCAUUCAUCAUUUAUGUGAUCAAAGUCUAUUAAAAACAUAUAUAUCCCUUCAUUUGAAUGCUUACCGGAUGCAUCUUUCAUCGGCAUCGCUAUUCUUUGGAAAAGUGUCCAACUGUUUUCAUCAGAUAGGCAUUCUGGUUUGAAGUUGAUAAAUGGUUCUUCACGUCCAGCGACUCUUUCAUUUCGUGAAGUAAGUAGCACUUUCCAACCUGUACAACUUAAAAAUUAAUAUAACACAGAGAGCAUAAAGAGUGUGAUCUGGAAUUUUAUCUUUCUUUCAUCAUCACCUUUUUUGUGUGGAAAUAUUGGCUUGAUUAGGUUCCAAUCUUCUUCUUUCCAUAUGUCAUCAAUGACAAUUAAUGAUUUUGAUGUUUCCAACAAUCUAGAGAGUUCAUCUUGGAGUCUUUCUUCUUUCAUCUGCAUGAUUUCGUUUUCUUCUGCUUUGGUUCUGAAAUUUUGCAAGAUAUUUUGCCACACAUUCUUCCGAUCACAAACUUGUGAAACACAUACCCACGCAAGUCUAUCAAACUUCUCCGUAACCUUGUCGUGAUGAAAAGCUUGUCUAGCAAGGGUGGUUUUCCCAAGACCACCCAUCCCGGUCAUUAGAACAAUUGGAUCAUUAUCUUCCUCCACCAAAUAUCCAACCAACUUCUCUACGUUUUCUUCCAGCCCCACAAGAUUGCUUUUUUCCUGUCUAGCGAAUUCUUUUCUUUCAGGAAGAGGUUCUGGAUCCCUCAUGUCGCCAAUAAUCUUUUGUACUCCUUGAGUUUCCAUAUCACGAAUCACCUUAGAGAUCCUAUUACUUAAGCUUCCAAUUUCUAAAGCGAUUUCCCUGCGUUCAGGAAUGAUGCAAGCAAGUCUUCUCAUACGUUCCUUGAUGCCACCACUUUUUUGGAGUUGGUCUUUUAGGAUAAAAGUUUCAAGUAUAUCUUCCGCACAGUUCCUCACCCUCGCACUUGUAUGCUUUUUAGCCUCUGCGUCUUGCAUAAAUGACUUUAACAUGCCUAGAUCAGUUUUUAGUUCAUCAACUUGAUCUUUAACUCCCUGAAAUUGUUUGUGUUCAUGGCUCAGUAGGUCCCAAAGCUUUUGUAUUCCAAAUGACAGAAGCUCCGUAGCCAUAGUGCCUUCUGCUUAAAUAGUAUGAAAAUAACAACCAAGUUACUUAGUAUUUGACGAACAUUUAUAAUCACACCAGAUUCACAAGAGCCAAAUAUCACAAGUUCCGUAAGAGGUAUAACAAAGCAAUAUAAGAUUUUCAUAAUUCCAUUAAAGCCUAUAUAAACUAGUGAGUAACCUGUAAGAUCCAAUCAAACUGCCAGAAAUUUAUAUGGAUAUAGACAAGGUUCUUAACCACAUACUUUUUUUUGUCUAUCUUUCUCUUUAUCUAUUCUUUUUUUUUUUGCAGAAAUAUUUUUCUUUUGUUAUGAAAUUAUUAUUUUAUAUAUAGGUGUGAGGAAAGUAAUUAUAUAAGUGUUUGUUUUAUAUUAGUAUAUAUAUAUAUAUAUAUAUAUAUUAUAUUUGUUAUUGGUUAAAAGGGAGAGAAAGUGACGAAGAGGAAAGAGAGUGAAUUAUUAUUACUCUUGCAUUUUGUUGCUUUCGUACACACAUCUUUUUUGGUAGAAGACCCGGGAGUAGACUCCCAAAAGAACUAACCGACCACAAACGAACGUGUCUAGGCCUUGAAAGACCAUCCACAUCGUCCCUCCAAAUAGUCUCCAAUACAUCAUGAACAAAAUCAAAAGUAAAUAAACCUAAAAGCAAAGUAAGGCAUAGUUUGUUAAUCCAGUUUCUCGAUAAAAAGCCAUAACACAAAUAUACUAGGGAUGAUGAUGGGUAGGACUUGCAGAUACCCUUCUUGAAAAACACCACCACCAUUUUGGAAUCAAUCUCCGAUUCCACUCUUAAAACUUGUUUCUCCCUGGCAAUAACAAGUCUAUAGUAGAGAACCCAAACUCUGCUAGAGGUGCAGAACAUCGACCAAUAUUGAGUGCAAAUCCUUCACACCAGUUUCCCUCUCCAUCACGUAGAACACCACCACCAGCUGCCAGCCCUGGAUUGCCACUUGAAGCUCCAUCAGUAUUAAGCUUAUACCAGCCGUUAACAGUUUAUUAUCCUCUAAUGUCUUUAAUUUUUUUUUUCUGUGUUUGGGAGAUUGCAAGCUUGAUUUCUAUGGAAUUUUGGGUGUUCUUUCUACAUUAGUUAUAAUUGAAAUAGUUUUAUUUCUAUAUUUUUAAAUUAAUUAUGAAUAUGAAUUAAAAAAAAAGAUAAAGUAGUAAAUCUAUUAUUGAGAUAGAAUAUUUUUGGCAACCAAUUCAUAUUUAUAUUUAAUUGAAAAAAUGUUGAUCAAAGAAAAAAUAAUAAUAAAUAGUUCUACAUAUAGAGGUCUCGGGUUCGACUUCCAGAUAAUGUGAUUUAUUAAUUAAUUUGCAGAAGAAUGAGAUAAACUUUCUAGAGAUCUAACACGAUGUACAAUUAGAACUGUUCACCGUGAUUCUACGCAUGGUGAAUGAAGUGUCGUUCGUCUAAGGAAAAAGAGUAAUUUGUGAUGAAUCUAUUAGGAUGGGGGAGAAUUAUCUAUAGUAGAAUCCUUAUUUUAAUAAUUCUCAUAAUUUUUAAUAAUCAAUAAUUCAAGAGUUUUAAAAAAACUAGAACUAUAUAGAAUUCAAUCUAGGGGUUAAAACGGAGUAAUGCUUAUUUAGAGAAAAAUAAUUCUUAUUUAGAGUCGAAUUUUCUAAGAAAAAUGAUUCUCAGCUACAUGAAGUAUCCGCCAACACAUUGUUACACAUGUAAACAAUAUAAUUGUCUCGUUAACUACAUGAAGUAUUACUAUCACAUAAGGACAUGCAUAAAUGAUGCAGCGCAUCUUCUUAUUGGGCUUGGUCGUUGCUCUUGUGGGCUUUACGCAAUCGACCAAAUGGGUGUUGAUCUUUUAAUUUCAUUUGAUAUUUUGACAUUGUUUAAAAUAAGGAUGUUAACAUAUCCACCCCUUCUUAGAUUUGGCUUUAUCUUAUUAGUUGGUGUUUAGGGCAUUAUAAACUUUGUUGCGUCUUUGUUUCAACUCAGUUUUUGAUAUUUAUAAGAAAUAAAACCAAAAAGAGGCAAACCUUUGCCCAAAGAGCUUGUGUCAAGCUAGAGAGGAGGACUCUCAAUAUCCUUCUGUUCAUUUGUUACCAUUUCCGCUUACGCCUCUACAUUAUUUGGUAUCAGAUUCAUCUCGUUCUUAGAGAGCAUUUGUGUCAACGUGUAGCCAUGCCUCUAGCCAACAAGAAAGGUGAGGGAGACGACGACCGCCACACGAUGACAACGGCUGAUUGGGCUGAGUUUCGUGAUGCUCUGUUGACAUCAAAAAACAACCUACAAGCAUAUCUCAUGGAUGCUAUGCAAAAUUUAACAGACACGCUUGUUCACAGUCUCGGAGAUCGCCAUCACCGACGAGGGGGAGAAAAUUUUUGGGCCAUGGACAAUCCGUUUGCUCAUGAGGGAGCACAUCGUGGGGAGUUAGUGAAUUUCCGGCAACAAGACAACCAUUCUCAAGAUACACGGUGGAAAGCUAGCUUUCGAGUGGAGAUUCGGGAGUUCCAUGGUGGGAUUCGCGGCGACUCUCUCCUUGAUUGGUUAUUGGUUGUAGAGGAAAUUCUCGAGUUCAAGAAAGUACCAGAGGAUCGCAAGGUUGCCUUAGCUACGACACGGUUUCCCGGACACGCCGCAUCAUGGUGGCAACAUACCAAGGCCACACGCAGCCGUACGGUGAAGGAUUAUAUACAUUCAUGGGAAAAACUGAAGAAGAAACUACGAGCCACGUUCCGACCACACAAUUAUGAUCGCACCAUCUACAACAAGCUACGGAACUUGAAACAGGGGAGUCGAUCCGUAGACGAAUACGUCGAAGAAUUUUAUUUGUUGGUCACUCGCAAUGAUAUUUUUGACAGUCCCAUCCAGUUAGUGUCUCGUUUCAUUGGUGUCUUAAGAGUACAACUACAAAAUGCGAUGUCGCAAUUCGAUCCUACCUCAGUUUCAGAAGCGCACCGUCGCGCUGCAUCCUUUGAGCUCCAAUUUCGUUCACCAUCAUGGUCUAUUCCUUCGGCCAAGACACGACCAUACGACCAGAACACAACCACCACAUCGACCGCGAUAAAAGAAUUUGGAACCGUUAAUGAGGUGACAAACAGAGCAGCUCGGGAGGAACAGCCGCUACGCCGUUCCACUCGACCCAAUGCUCUUCGAUGUUACUCUUGUGGUGAGGCGGGACAUCGUCAAACGACAUGUCUAAACCAAACACGUCGUGGACUGCUCAUGGAUGACGGACAAGAUAACUCACCACCGGUUUUUGAUUAGGAAGAAGAUGGAAGAGACGAGGACAACGUGGAAGGUCUUCACACAGCUGGCGACACGGGAAGGUUGUUAGUAGCACGGCGGCUCUGUAUAGCACCACCCAGUUGGACAGAGUCUUGGCUGAGACACAACAUCAUUUGCUCAUCGUGUAUAAUCCAAGACCGUGUGUGCACGUUCAUUAUCGAUUCGGGUAGUUCGAGGAAUAUUAUGGCGGAGUAUGUUGUGCAGAAGUUGAACAUCCCGGCUGAACCACAUCAUACUCCUUACUCGCUUGGUUGGAUGCAAGAUGGCGUCGAUAUUCACAUCACUCAUCGAGCUUUGGUCGCUUUUACUAUUGGUCAUCACUACAAGGACCGUUUCUGUUUUGAUGUUGCUCCUAUUGAUGUGAGUCACCUAAAUUUUGGUCGACCUUGGGAAUUUGACCGAAAGAUUUUCCAUGACGGAGCCAAGAAUACUUACAGCUUCUACUGGGAGACAUAUCACAUUGUUUUGCUGCCAACUCUAGAGACUCCUCUAUCCGUGACGCCUCCACCACAGGCAGCAUCUUCGACACUGUUCAUUUCCGUAGCUGCCUUUGACAAUGAGUUCAAACAAGAGGGAAGAUCGCCUUUGCUCUUUUGCUUCACCGCUGUGUGCGACGUCCUUCCAAACCAUUUCAUCAUAUGACUCCGUGCUGCGCGAGUUCACUGACAUCUUUCCAGAAGAGCUACCGCCGGGUCUCCCUCCCCUCUGGAUAUUCAGCAUCAAAUCGACUUGACUCCAGGUGUAGCUCUACCGAAUUGUGCUCACUACAGAAUGAGCCCUCAAGAACACGAGGAGCUCCGACGUCAAGUAGAAGAGUUGCUGCGCAAAGGGCACAUUCGCGAGAGUCUUAGUCCUUGCGCCGUCCCAGCGUUGCUAAUUCCAAAAAAAAGAUGGUUUGUGGCGAAUGUGUGUGGAUAGCCGGGAAAUUAACAAUAUCACAGUCCGCUACCAGUUUCCUAUUCCACGCCUUGACGACUUGCUGGAUCAAAUUGGAAUGGCCUCUAUUUUUUUGAAGAUUGAUAUUAAGAGUGGCUACCAUCAAAUCCGUAUCCGCCCCGGGGAUGAAUGGAAAAUGGCGUUCAAAACAAGAGAAGGACUUUUCAAAUGGUUGGUCAUGCCGUUCGGGCUUUCCAACGCGCCUAGUACCUUUAUGCGUAUCAUGAAUCAAGCACUACGGCCGUUCAUCGGGAAGUUUGUAGUGGUAUACUUUGACGAUAUUCUGAUCUUUCGUUCUUCCGCCGCUGCCCAUUCUUCCCAUUUGCGUGAGGUGUUGUGUGUUUUCCGGCGUAAAGAACUCUUUGCGGCUAAACGAAAAUGCGAGUUCGGCGUCAUACGUCUUGUUCUUGGGCUAUGUUGUCUCGGACAAGGGUUUGUCCAUGGAUGAAUCCAAGAUUGAAGCUGUGAGGUCAUGGCCAACACCGCAGACAGUCACCAAAGUCCGGAAUUUCCAUGGGCUUGCGUCUUUUAAUAGACGUUUUGUACCUCAUUUCAGUGCGGUCAUGGCACCUAUCACUAGUUGUAUGAAAGACGGCAAAUUCGAGUGGUCUUCUGACGCGGAUAACGCGUUCAUCAAGAUCAAGGAGCUGCUCACGUCCGCUCCUAUAUUGGUACUGCUGGAUUUUUCUCUUCCAUUUGAGCUGCAUUGUGAUGCAAAGCUGGGUAUUGGCGCGGUUUUGAGCCAACAAGGCCGUCCAAUCACAUAUUUUAGUGAGAAGUUAGCCGGAGCGCGAGGCCGUUACAGUACUUACGAUGCAGAGUUUUAUGCGGUGGUGCAAGCUAUCAAACAUUGGCGACAUUACUUGGUUCACCGGGAGUUUGUCUUGUUUACGGACCAUGAUGCUCUACGCCAUUUGGAUAGCCAAGCAAAGGUGUCUUCCCGUCACGCCUCAUGGAUUGCAUUUCUUCAGCAAUUUACCUUCUCUAUACGAUACCAAUCAGGCAAAACAAACCGUAUAGCUGAUGCAUUAAGUCGUCGCCACACCUUACUCACUACGAUGCACACGUCGGUAACCGGGUUCUCCAAAUUUGCUGACUUGUAUGGAACUGAUCUGUACUUUGCUCCUCAUCUCGUUGACAUUCGCCAAGGCCUACAUUCUAAAUUCACUAUGCACGACGAUUUUAUCUUCUAUGGUGCUCGGUUGUGUGUUCCAGCUUGUAGCUUGCGGGUCAAGAUUAUUGGAGAAUUAUACAAUGAAGGUAGUCAUGGCAUCAUAUUUUUGGCCUACUCUUCGUAGGGAUGUUGAACGGUUUGUGGAGAGGUGUCGAGUUUGCCAACAAGGAAAGGGUAAGGCGUUGAACUCUGGUUUGUACUUACCGUUGCCCGUUCCCACCCAGCCGUGGACCGAUGUUGUAAUGUCCCUAACCGUGGCCUAAUAUUCAGAUGGAAUGGUCAAAGAAUGGCUAUCAAAGGAAAAUGGAUCAAGGGAAUGGAUAAUUAAUUUUUGGGCUUGAGCCAAAGUAUUCUUAGAUGAAUACAAAGCUUUUGAUCGAAGAUAAAUGGAAGUCAGACGAUGAAAAUCAUAUUUCAUACGACAAUGAAGUUUCUGGCCGAAGGAGUUUCGAGUGUGAACGCGAUCACAAGCAUAUCAUUUCGUUUGCAUCCGCAAGCUAGUAGGUUGGUAGGCAAGCUACUGCACUAUUAUGGAUAAGAACAAUAAAUGGAUAACCAUGAAGUUUAGGAUAAGCAUCAACAUUUGGAUAAGGAUAGAAAUAAAAAUAAGCUAAAUCAAGCCUAUCAAUGCCACCUCGUUGUCACGGACUUGAUCUUUGGUGAUCAAACCGUGCAGCCCUAGACCCUCUUUGUCUCGAACAAAUGGACUAGGUAGCCUAACUCUCCCAAAAUUUCCGACCCUUUGUGAUAAAAGAACCCGGAAAGAACGAGAAAAGACAAGUGAUUACUGAAUUGCUCUAGUAUUGAUAAAAAUGCUGGAUGAUUACAAAUGAGGGAUCUCACCGCUAUUUAUACAAAACACCUCCUCAAUGGACGGUAGAGAUUAAAGCGAUAUAAUGGCCGAUAUUGAAGAUAUCGUCAUAAAUACAAGGAUUUGGCUUGGUGACAAAGUCUUCUGAGAAUCCUCUCCAAGUCUUUCCUUAAGUGGCUUCGAAGCUCUUCAACGAAAAAGGCUGAAAAAUGCUAAGUGUUCGGUGGGCUUUCUCCAUAGUCCGGCCCGUAUGUGUGUUCAAGUAAAUGGGACGUCACCUCGUGCUUCCAUAGCUUCCUCCCCAAGUAACCAUGUCCUAUAAAUACCCCCUCUCCUUUUCAUUUGUUCUUCACACCAAAAACCAACAAAAACUUUCCCAAGUGAGUAAGUGUCCGAGCUGGUCCGUGGUAGUAUCCGAGUAGGAUCGCCGAGAGUCUAGAGUCCUUAGUAGUCAAGCCAAGGUAAGUUCCGAAGCGUGUGAGGUAGCACACGACUAGGAUUAUUUUAAGUAUUUAUUUAAGAUAAUUAAUUCUUUAUUUAUUUAUUUAUUAAUUAAUAUUUAGCAUGAGGUUAGGGACUAUUAUAUUGGCAUUAUUUGUGGUAAUGGUGAACUGUUCUUGAUUGAUGAUUGUGUGAUAGUAUAACUUCGCGAUAGAUAACUGUAAUGCUAGCAUUUAUGGGCAUAACCGUUAUGCUGUCAGAUUGUUAUAUUAUUUGGUUGUUGGUUAUGCUUUGAUUAGAUAUCUAGCACUAGUCGGAUCGUGCUAUCCUCGUUGUAUAUGAUACGUUAGGUAAUGUGAUUAUAUACGAAGGCUCGAGGAUGUGUCACGACAGACCGGGCAGCUACAUAACGAUGUAGAGUGAAGGGAUGACAGAUCUUCUAUAGACUUUGUGUCUAGAAGUGUAGGGCAUUGCCUUGGGGAUAUCAUGGAUUCGUAGGGGCCCAAAGUAGGAUCGAGAUGAGGUAUAUUACUUGCAUUUUGGUUUAGUGCUUAUGGCUUCUAAGCCAUAAUGCUUAUUGAUCGCCAUUGCUUGUGAUUGGGGGUUGGGUUGGGUUAUUUUAGAGAUCCCGGACUUACAGAGUAAUCUAAGUUUACUCAAGAUUCUACCAAUUUGUUUUGCAGGUAACCAGUAGUGGGAAAACGUUAAGGGAAAAGGACGUUAGGCUAACCGGUGUAGAUUUCCUUGCCUUUGUAAGAUGUAGUUUUGUGUAUAAUACAUAUGACUCUAUUUUCCCGAUACUAAUAAAGUGAUGCUUUUAUAAACACCGUGUCUCCCAUGAUAUUAUUAGUCUUGUCCAGACUAGCACAACUCGGGUUCGCGGUACGGGUUCAUAGCCAUAGGCCGUGAUUGUGAGGAACGACUCCUGCGGUUGGGCUAGAACGGGUCGGGGGUGUUAUAGAUGUUAGCAUGGACUUUGUUUUGGGCCUUCCCCGGCCCCAACGAGGGCACGAUUCUAUCCUUAUGGUGGUGGACCGAUUCUCAAAAAUGGCCCAUUUCACCCCCUGCAAGAAGACUACCGACGCAGUUAGUGUCUCUAAUUUUUUCUUCCGUGAGAUCUACCGCCUACACGGGCAUCCGUCGUCCAUAGUUUCUGAUCGGGAUUCCCGUUUUCGUAGCCAUUUUUGGAGGUGUCUUUGGAAGUUGUUGCGUACUAGUCUCGCCAUGAACACUGCCUAUCAUCCUCAAACGGAUGGUUAGACGGAAGUUAUUAAUCGUUCUGUGGGCGAUUUACUUUGUUGUUUAGGUUGUGAUAAUAUCAAGAGUUGGGAUGCUAAGUUGUGUCAAGCUAAGUUCGCUUAUAAUCAUGCCGUGAACCGCAGCGUAGGCAUGAGUCCUUUUCAAGUGAUUUGUGGUGUUGUUCCUCGCUAUUUAUUGGACCUUGCUCCUCUACCGGAUGAUAUUCAUUUGCAUGGCCAGGCAGAAGAUUUUGUGGCAAGCUUAAAGGAUGUCCAUACGCAACAAUUUGGAGACGUCUGUCGCUAAGUACAAGGCUGCUGCUGAUCAUAAGCUGUGUGAGGUAGUUUUUGAAGUUGGUGAUCUUGUGUGGGUUGUUUUGACAAAGGACCGUAUGCCUCUUCGGGAGUAUAAUAAGCUGAAGUCGCGGAAGAUUGGACCGGUCGAAAUUGUCGCCCGCAAAAAUGCUAAUGCUUAUCGAGUAACUCUUCCUUCUCACCUCAAGACGUCGGAUGUGUUUAACGUCAAGUUCCAGUCUCCUUUCCACGGGGACAACGACGGCUUGGAUUCGUGGUCGAAUCCUUCCGCACGGGGAGGGACCUGAUGCAGCGCAUCUUCUUAUCAGGCUUGGUCGUUACUCUUGUGGGCUUUACGCAAUCGACCAAAUGGGUGUUGAUCUUUUGAUUUCAUUUGAUAUUUUGACAUUGUUUUAAAAUAAGGAUAUUAACAUAUCCAUCCCUUCUUAGAUUUGGCUUUAUCUUAUUAGUUGGUGUUUAGGGCUUUAUAAACUUUGUUGCGUCUUUGUUUCGAGUCAAUUUUUGAUAUUUAUAAGAAAAAAAAACCAAAAAGAGGCACACCUUUGCCCAAAGAGCUUGUGUCAAGCUAGAGAGGAGGACUCUCAAUAUCCUUUUGUUCAUUUGUUACCAUUUCCGCUUACGCCUCUACAUUAAUAAACAAACAUGAUUAUGUGUACAACACCAUAACCAUCCAUUUCCGAUGAAUUUUUCGCCGGAAUCCGACCGACUGAAACAUGUAUUUUUGUACCCUUGGAGUUCAAUUCCCCAAUGCGAUGUAGCAUAAGAGGUUAUCGAUCCAAAUGGAUGUAUUGCAAGCAAUCAAGAUAUAUCAGAUCUAAUCAAGUCAAGCCAAGUAAUUUAAGGUUUGGUUUAAAGAACUCUAAUGCAUAAAAGAAAACUAAAGAAACCAAUAUUGAAAGCAAUAAGUAAAAGCCGGUAAUCAAUCAGAUAGCAAAGGGUCUUAAGGAUGGGCUAAUGGGGUGAUGAAUCCUCUUAGUAUCUUUGGGAUGCUUAACAUGCUCAGAUAGAUCUAAUCCUAGACAAUGAACCACUUAACCUAAUCUGUCCAAUCUCUUGGCAAAGAUUAUCAGAUCUAUAGCACUUCCUAAUCUCAACUUUCAUUGAUGAAACAUACAUUAAAUAGGCAUAAAGAACAAGCUCAUUAAUGUCAAUCUACUCCUUAACAACCAAUCUCUUGGGUAAGUAAAUAGAUCUCUGGCAUUAGUUGAUCAGACAUUCCAUUUGAACACUUUUUUAGUGCUGGAAUGUCUAAGAUCUAAUCCCACAUGGUUAAUGCUAAGAUAGCAUUAAGAUCUCCUAAUCCAGAAGGUAUCUAUCUAAAUCUAUACUUAAGCAACCCUAGAAACUAAGAUUCCUCAUCACCUAACCCAUCCUCUAAACCCAGAAAAACUACUCAGAUCUGGUGUUCAUCAUGAAGAACACAAACCCAGAAAUCUUUGAAUCUUGCAUAACUAGAUAGAUAAUGAUCUAAGGAGCAAGAUAUUGUAAAGAAACAACUCCAAAUUCUCAAUAGAUCAAAAGAUAUAAAGAUUACAAGUUUCUGAAAAUGUUUGGUGGCUACAGAGAAAAACCCUAAUGAAAACUCGUUUUUGGCUUAAUGACCCAAGAGGUCUAUUUAUACUAAAGGCAGGAAGCCCUAAAACACAAAAAGACAAAUUACAAAGUCGGUUUAAAGAGAGCUCGGUCGGGUGCUUGUUGGGCUCGUUCGGGUCCUCUCUUGGCUCAUCCGUGUUCAGCUUCCUCUUGUGAGUCCGGGUGCUCGAUCGUGCUCGCUUGGUCGGGCUGGACACACUCGAUCGGGUCCAUGCUUUGCAUUGUCCGAGUGUACCUGUUUUUUCUCUAAAAUGCAGAUGAUAUGCAAAUCUCUAUGCUAAAGAUCCUAGAUGCGAAAUAUAAUGCAAAGGGACUAGAAAUCCUGAGAAGUAGAGACCUAGACAUCCAAAUAAUGCACAAAACAUAUGCUUAAGAGUAUAAAAAUAUAGGGUUAUCAACUCCCCAAACUUAUUCUUUGCUUAGCCUCAAGCAAAUUCAAAGUAGGGAGAGAGGUUUGAAGGUGGGGACUCAGAACCAAAACUUGCUGCAAAAGAGUUUAACAUCAAUAUCCUAGUUCGUAAUUCUAGAAUGCAAUUCAAAGGCUGUACUCUGAAGACAUUAGCCAUUCCUAUUUCAACACGAUGUCACCAGCCACAUAACCUAGACAAGCAAUCAAGUCAGCCAUCCUUUUUAACAUUCAUUAAGUAGCAACAGUGAAUCUGGAUGUGAAUUUGAAUUUAAACUCAUUUGGCUAGGCAAGUAAAAGGUUUAAGAGAUAAAGAGAGUCUCUCUUUUGUGAGGGUUUAAUCGUUUAAGUGCUAGGAUCUCUCAAUGAACAAGAUUGAGCUUUUGGGAGAUUGCUAAAGGUAAGGACCAACAAAUGCAUACAAGAAUAACAUCUUGACUACCCAAAGUACCUAAGUGAUAUCCUAAUUAUCUAAACCCAUAUGAUCCUAUUCUACCCUUUAACUCUUUUCAUCCCAAUUUCCCAUUUUGUUCUAAGUCUAAGGAGAGUUUCUUAUGAUAAACUAGUGGAUAGGGGGUUCCUUUAUAAACACUAUGGUUCUCUUUCUUCUUAAUACUUAAGACAUCAAAGCAUUUUGCUAUCUUUACACUUUUCUCUCUUUCUUUUUAAAAAAUCAGAACCAUUUCUUUUAUAUACUUUGCAUUCCCCACUUAUCUUUCACUAGGACCUUGAACUUUUCUGAAACUUUUACUUUCCUAAAGACUCGACUCAUUCCCCUAUUCUUUUCUUUUCUUUUCUUUUCUUUUCACCAAUCCAACAAAUCCCAAAACCCAAGUAGAAUCCAUCCUAGUCCUAUCUGAUCCGAAAGAUGCAAAUCAGAACUACUCAAGACCAUAUUCCUGUCGGCUCAAACCUAACACGUUCUCUUAAAGCUCAAUCCCAAAAGGCCUUCCACUCAGAAUUAAAACAAAGGCUUGAAGGAAUGGUUAAGGUUUUUAGGGUGUGGUUAACUGGUCAAGGUUAUGACCAGCUACUUGGAUCAACAAGAGGGUGGUAAAAAGAGGGAAAGAAGAUCCAAGUAUGUAUAAAAGGUAUCCAUGAGUUUAAAACAAAUCACAACCAGAUAAUUAACAAUUCAAGUUAAGGUUCUUAUAAAUAAAGGAUGGCAUCAUAUCAAAGCAAGCUUCAGUUUAGACUAGAAUUCAAAUCAUGAGAUCAAAGAAUGGUGCAGUCUCAUUUCAAACUCAAAUGAAAGCAUUGAACAACUAUGAACUAGGGCAUUGGUGUUAAAUCUAAUGAAACAGCAAGUUCUUUGGUUAUAAUCAUCAUAAUCCCCUAUGCUAAUGUAAUGAUCCUAAAUGCAACAACCUUAAAGCAAGACUAAUAUGCAAAUGCAACUAUAUGAACACUCUGUUUUUAAAGGAAUUUCUGAAAAAUUUUCAAAAUUUUAGGGGUUUUUGAUGCACAUAGAUGAAUGCAAAACUAGAUGCUAAAAAUUCGAAAUAAGAAAAUAUAAAACAUGUCAAAUGCUAUCCUAAGCUCUCCCCCAAACUUAAAUUACACAGUCCCUUGUGUAAUAAAAAUCUGAAGGAAGGCUUAGGAUCGAAAAGAAAAUAUAAAAAUGCAAGGCUGUAUUUACAAAGUUGAGGGUAAUAGAAUUACCUCUUGGGUGGUCCAAACCACGAGCUCAGGACGUCGGGGUACGCUGCUACAUGCUCGUCCUGGAUAUUUUCGGCGUCGACUGCAAGGUGAUAGGCUGACCCGACCGGGCGUGAAGAACCGGCCCGAUCGGGUGUGCGUUCGGGUGAGGCGCUCGAGUCAGCUCCCGGUUCCCUUCUGGUUCUGAACAGACUUCUCCUCGGAUCAAAUGAGGCUCUAGGCGGGCUAACUGGUAGGUUGGACCUGGUAGGUGUCCUGACUGAUGCAUUCCCCCCCCCCCCAAACCACUAGGCAUGGCUGUAGUGGAGGUUGACCAUCCAACCUUGUUCUGAAGUUCAUUAAUCUGCUCCCCCAUAUCCUAAACUGUUCCGGCAAGAUCCUUCACAGUGUUUUUCAAUGCCUUGAUAGUCUUGCUCUGGAACUUGUUCCACUUCUGAAGGAUGCUAAUCUUUUUGUGAGCUUCUUUUACCCCCCUUGACUGCCUAGAGGACUCUCCACUCAUCAAAAUAGAAGUCCUCCUCCUGCUCUUCCCUAUAAGGUUCUUCUUCUCUGACCUCAGGUGCAUAGGUUUGUUGGGCUGGCUCGAAGCUAGGAAUUGGGUCUUGGACUGAGUUCGGGUCAUAUAAUGCUGAGACGGGUGGCCAAAAGUUGAUAUUAGCACCCAAUCUGAUCUUUGUAAGCUCGGUGUUAGGCAACAUCAUUCUUGCUACUCCAAGUGAAGGGUGAGUGAACUUAUAUAAGUAAAACCCGUUGGGACGCUCGCUAUCAAGGAAGUGCGUCCUUGUUGAAGUCUCAAUGUCGAUCCAGCGAGCGUUGUAAACCUUCCCCCGUAAUUCCACUCACAAGCUACCAAUAACGGGGUGACUAGUCCACCAAUACUGAGCUCUCCUUGCACACCUCUCCUAACAGCCUUUAAUACCCAAUCUUUGCAAUACAUCAGCUGGUCUAAUAGAACCGAGACCAUGCUACCAUCUGUUCUAUCUCCUACUAGUUCUCUACCAUCCCUAGUACUUGGCAAUACACCACUCAAUGCUAUAUCUAUGAGCUGGAUCUCACUCUCAUUCACAUUCCCGGUUUCCUUUUUAGGAAAAAUCGUACUAGCCAAGGACUUAUGGAAAUACCUCACAGCUGGAUUGCUGAUUUGGGCGCUCUUGGAUUUCGAAGAAGUGUAUUCCUUCCCAUCUCCAAUUGUUUUCCAAACAGACUUGAUCUCCUCCUUAAGCACAUCUUGGCUCAUCGCGCUUGCUUGCAAGAACCCAUAGAGCUUCUCAACUUCCUUAAACGUGAGAGAAUAUGUAGUGCCCCUCACGCCGAAGGUGAUGUAUCCAAGGCAGUCAUCUGAGUGAAACUCGGUUUCAUCCUCGUAGAAAUGGAGCUGAAGUGAAGCUAACACGUAGCACGUCUCCUCGUCGUUGGCUUCCAAGUUUCUGGUCAUGAAUGAGCCAAGGCCGCUUCUCUCGAACAGAAACUCAACAUCUCUUGCUAUCCCCAGCUCCUUCAUCGUUUGCCGGUGAGGAUAACGAGUUCCAACAAACUUGUGGCGCCUAAACAUUGCAUAAAGCUCUUCUGGAGGGGGCAAGUUCUUGGUCUUACUUGGAGCCACUACCCUCCUAGGCUCCAUAUCCACCAUCGGUUCAUCAACAUCUUCUUCUGCAGGUCUCUUCCCCAUCGAAACUUCUUCUUUGGAAAUCGGGUGGGUCUGACCUGAUCGACUGGCCCGAUCGGGUGAUCGGGUUCGUGCUCGGGCUUUUCUUCUCCCAGAUAAUAAGAACACAAGGUUCAAUUACACAAACAAACCCCAGAAGAUGUGAAGAAUCAAGGCAAGAUUAACAACAAACCAGAGAAUGAGAUGAACAAGGAGCAAAUGAAAUCAAACCCAGAAAUUUUAUCAACCAAGAAUCUAGAGAGAAGGAAGAGAGAAUUCUAGAGAGAUAACUGAAUUUUUAGCAAAAUGAGAGAGUGAGAGAGGUUUUGGUCUAGUUUAGGUGGUAUAAAGAGGGUAAGAGGGGACAAAAAUCUGAAAGCGGAGCGUUUUUGGUCGGGCUUGGUUCAAAAUUUAAAUUUCAAAUCGAGUUGACUAUUGACCCGACCGUUACCUUUGACGCAAUCGGACGGCUGAGAUGAACCCGAUCGGGUGGCUUAGAUUGACUCGACCGGAUGGUCGAGAUUGACCCGAUCGAAUCGCGUUGACCCGACCGUGUGGGUGUUGACUCGACCAAAUAUACUUUUUCUUUUCAUUUUUUCAAUUAUUUUUACUUUGUAUUCAAAUGUGGGGUUUUAAUUAUUUUCUAGAUAUAUACUUUUAUGUAAAUAAUAUUUUAAUUAUAUUUCUUCUUUUUCCCUUAUAAAAAAUAUAUAUUUGCCGAUGCUAUAAAAAUAUUUGAAAUGCCAUAAUCUCAUAACUAUUGUAUCUAUAUUAACAUUUUUGAAGUACCUUUUGGAAAAUAACCUUUUAUUUUGUAUUAUUUGCAUAAUAAAUCCUUGCCAUUUAAAUAAUUAACAAAAUNNNNNNNNNNNNNNNNNNNNNNNNNNNNNNNNNNNNNNNNNNNNNNNNNNNNNNNNNNNNNNNNNNNNNNNNNNNNNNNNNNNNNNNNNNNNNNNNNNNNCCAUUAUAAAUAUGACUAAUAUGAAACUUAAAAUCCAAAAUCUUGAAUGGAAGAUUACAACAAUAAGUUUACUAAUUUAGGGAAUCCAAUUUAAUAUUGAUUGGUUAAAAUGAGUUUUGGAAACAAAAAUCUCUCUCGAAAUCUAUAAAUUAUUCAAGGUUUAUAUUUACAUAAAUAUGAUUUAACGGGUUUGAGUUAUAUGUUUUUCUUACGAGUUAUCUUAUGGGUUAACAAAACAAAAUAACAAAUAUAACUUAAACAUAAUUUUUUAGUCCCACGAGUUAUAAAAAAAUAUCCCGCGAGUUAAGUAAUAAAAAUAACAAUCAAAAAUACAGUUACACAAUCUUAAACACUAAAAAGGUAAUAAAAUUAACAAAUAUAACUUACAUAUAUAUUUUGUUUAGUCAAAACAAUCGUCUCGCGGUGUACCGUGGGUUAAAACCUAGUAUAAAUAAAAAUUCAAAACAUAUUUAAAACCCCGGCCUACGACUUUACAAAAGAAAAAAAUGAUUUUUUAAUAUUUUGUUAUAUUACUAUAUAUAUAUAACUAAAUUUACCACGUAAAAAUUUUGUGGUAUACUUUCUUUACUUGGUAUAUUUUUUUUUGUAUUACCAAAAUUGUAUAACCAAAUAUUUCACAAAAUUUAUUGAGAAACUGAUAUCAAUAACCUUUUUAUGAUACCCUCUUUUAAAAAUACCCUCUUUUUUGCAAUUUUCAUUUUUGCCUUCUCUUAAAUUUUAAUGGCCAUUUUACCCCUAGUUGAAAGAAUAUUCUUUCCCAAAGGAAGGAAUAUUCCUUUCAAAAAAAUUUCCCCCAAAAAUUUCCCGCCAAAAAAAUUUCCGAGUAAAAAUUUCCCGCCAAAAAAUUUCCGCAAAAAUUUUCCCCCAAAAACAAAAUAUUUUUACAAAAUUUUCCCGCCAUAUAUUUUAAAGGGUUUACAAGUUUUUUAAAGGGUCUUUUAAAGGUUUUAAAGGGAUUUACAAGAGUUUUUAAAUGGUUUUCAUAAGAUUUGUAAUGGUUUUUAAAUGAUUUACAAUGGUUUUUAAAAGUUUUUAUAAGUUUAUAACAGUUUUAAAAGGAUUUAAAGGAUUUUUAAAGGAUUUAAAUAUUUACAAGGAUUUUUAAAGGUUUUUAAAAAGGAUUUACAAGUGUUUUAAAAAGGAUUUACAAGUGUAUUUAAAGGCAUACAAAGAUUUAAAAAUAGUUUUAAAGGACUUACAAGGGAUUUUAAAGAAUUUUAGAAGUUUACAAAGGUUUUUAAAGGGUUUACAAAACUUUUUAAAUGUAUUACAAGUUCUUUAAAAUGGUUUUUAAGGAUUUACAAGGGUUUAGAAAGGGAUCUAGAAGUUUAUAAAAUCUUUUAUUAAAUGAUUUAUCACGGUUAUAAGGGGUUUGAAGGGAUUUACAAGUGUUUAUAAAUGUUAUAAAAAGGGUAAUUUAGUCAUUUUGUACAUAGAAGAGUGUAUUUUUGAAAAUGGACACCUAGAGAGGGUACUUAUAGAAAAGGGUAUCUAUCAUAAAAAUGUUAGUUGUGUGAAUCCCCCAAAUUUAUUUGGUACUAGUCGGUUGCCCGCGCUACGCGCGGGAAUUUAUUAUGUUGUAUAUGAGUAAUUGAUUUGUAUUUUAUUUUCUACUUCUUUUUUCACUAUACCAUACUUUACUUUUUUAAAACUUAGAUUGUGUUUGUAUAGAAAAACUAUUGAGUUUUAGCCUCAUUAGUUGUUGAGAAAUUAAGUGUGUAUAAUAUAAGUCGAAGUGUGGGCGUAAACGGAAAUGCGGUGAAAAAUUAUUGAGAAACGUGUGCUAUUAGGGUUUCUACCAAAUAUAGAUCUAGAUGUUAAUAUUUUGUGCCUUUUAUAUGUUGGCAUGAAAUUUGAACAUGAUUUGUGGGUUUCGGGCGGAUUGUUAUAUUUUUAAUUGUUUACAUUAUCUCUUUAUAUAUUGUCAUAAUUUUAUUUUUUUAUGUUAUUCAUUUUUUGAUUUGUCGUAAUUAUAUCUCGUAAUGAUCAUUUUUAUACUAUUAUAUAUUUGUUUCUGAUUUUAUGUUAUAUAUAUAUAUAUUUUAUUUUUUCAUAUGGAACAAUUUUUAAAUUUAACAUAUCAGUAUAAUUUACUUUAUAUUUAGUUUAUUUCAUUUAAUACUGUCUUUUGUUAAUUUUCAAUUUUUAUGAAAUAUUGUUAAUUUUUUACUCUUUUAUUAGUUUAACAUAUGUGUUGUAUUGGAAAAAAUUAGUUAAAUUCAUAUUGGAAACCUUUAAAAAAUAUUAUUUUUAUUUUCACGUUUUUAUACGUUUAAAAAAAAUGAGAAUUGAUGUUUCGGUCCGACCUAUCUCAUUUAUGUUAGAAAUUUUUGUGAGACAUAAAUUACAUAGAUUUAUAUUCUCAAAAUUUCUUACUUUCUUUACUAUUCUCGUUAAAUCCCAUAAUAUUUGGGUUUACAUUGUGUAAAUAUAAUCAUAUAUAUUUCUUAGUAUAAUCGAUAAUUAGUAAGUUUUUUUAACUUUUAAACAAAUCAUCUUUUUAGUUUUAUAAUGUAUAAUAUAGAAAAAACCUUUGAUAUUCCUUUUUGAAAAACUUAUUUACAUAAGUUUAAAUCUUAAAAUUAAAUGAUAAAAUGGUAUAAUUAAUUUUAAAAAUUAAAUAAUAAAAUGAGGUGGAUGAUGAUGUGGCAUAAGGAGAAGAGAGAAAAAGUUAACUUUAUAUAUAUAGAUAUAAGUUUUGAAUUUUAAUGUGAGAUAAAAAAAAUUACUUUUAUAAUAUGUUUUGAUAUUUGUUUUGUAAAAUUAUGUAGUAUAUUUACCUAUUUAUCAAAAAUAGUUAAAAUAAAAAAUAAAAUAAUUAUGGAUUUUUUUUUUGAAUUUUUUGUUGGUCAUCGUCGGUUAGGCAUGACGAUGGUUACGGUUUAUUAACCACCGGUUAUGGUUAUAAAUAUUUUUUAACCAUAACCUUAACUUUUAUAUAUACGGUUACAACGGUUAUAGUUAAGGAAAACGGGGAAAAUCAACCCAAACUAUUUCUCGAAGGUAUUUUCAUACCCAAACUCGCGUACUCUGAAUUUUACAACCCAAACCAGGUUUCAAUUCAAAUAACCCACCUGAACCACAUCAAAUUUUGUCGAUUUCAACCUCGACGUUAAUAGUAUCCCUGCCCAUCUUGAAGAUUUGGACAAUCAAGCUUAAGCUUCUGUAAAAACCAAGAGAAAUUAAGCUUAAGCUUAAGCUUAAUUGUCCAAAUCUUCAAGAUGGGCAGGGAUACUGUUAACGUCGAGGUUGAAAUUGACAAAAUUUGAUAUAGUUCUAGUUGGUUAUUUGAAUUGAAAGCUAGUUUGGGUUGUAAAAUUCAGAGUACGCGAGUUUGGGUAUGAAAAUACAUUUGGGAAAUAGUUAUGGUUAUAUACAGUUACGGUUAAAUCCGGUUACGGUUAUUUGAUGUUUAUGAUAUAAAUAAUAUUAAAGGCAAAAUUUUAUAUUUUCUUACCAUAUCAAAUAAUGUUUAUUUAUAAAUAUGAAAUAUAUGUAAUUAUAUUAUUCAAAUAUUUAUAGUACAUUAGUUAAAGAAAUGAUUUUUGUUUAAUCAAAUACAACUACAGAUAUAUAAACUAAUGGUUAUGAACCUACAAAUAUUUAAAUUAAAUUAUUUUUGAUUUGAUUAAUGGAAAUGAGUAGUGGAAUGGAUUAGGGUUACUAGUUGACAUAUUUAACCAUUUUGUUUUUUGUCAUCAACAUAUUUAACCAUUUAAAACAUUGUUUUAAUGAGAUAAUUUUUAGAUAAAUUAUCUCUAAUAACCUUUUUAUCAUACCCUUUUGCAAAAUUAUCCUCUUUUUUUGUCAUAAUCAUUUUUGCCCUCUCUUAAAUUUUAGUGACCAUUUUACCUCUAGUUGAAAAAAUAUUCUUUCCUUUGAACGGAAUAUUCUUUCCAAAAAUUUUCCCGCCAAAAUAUUUUCCUACCAAAAUUUAUAAAUGUUAUAAAAUGAUUUACAAAGGUUUUAAAAGGUUUACUAAAGUUUUUGAAGGUUUUGAAUGACUUUUAAAAGAUUUACAAGGGUUUUAAAAAGAGUUUUUAAGGUUUUAAAAAUAUUUACAAGGUUUUUUAAGGAAAUGCGGAAAAAUUAUGGCUGAAAAUUUGGCGGUAAAAUGUUUUGGCGGAAAAAAAUUUGUCGGAAAUUUUUGGGGGGAAAAUUUUCGGAAGGAAUAUUCUUUUUGUUGGAAUUUGGAAAUAAUAUUCCUAUCUUCAUCAUGUGAUAUAUUAAAGGAGGCUGAUUUAGUUAUUUUGUACACGGAAGAAGGUAUUUUCUAAAUGAACACCAAAAGAAGGUAUUCUUACAAAAGGGUAACCUAAAAAAGUUAUUUGUGCAAAUCCCCCUUGUGGGAGCUGAAAUCCACGAACUGAAAACGGAGUGAACUCGAGUGGGCUCCUAAUUCCCUGUCCGAACUCGUGAACAGAAUUGCGAAAUGAUUGAGAGAAAAUUGCUUAGUUUUAUUUAGUAUCUUUUGUCAAAAAUCCGACCCCUUUACACUUUGUUUUUCCUCCUACUUAUACUACUCUGGCAAGCAUUGAACGCGCAGCGAACUCCGCUCCGCGAAUCGCGCCAUUCUCAUUAAGGCGCCGCUUGACCCGCUGAUAGCCCGUUUUAAUUCUCCUUUCAAACCUUCGGCUCCUACUGGACUCCGCUUGACGGGCUGGGCAGUUCCAAUAAUGGGCCUUCGCCAACGGGCCUAAACGGAAUGGGCUGUUAGCCCGGAACGCCAAUUCCGGUACCCACAGUAAGCCCCCAAAGUCUUCCGAAGUGGUUCAGUUUGGGAGACUUUAAUGCCACACAAUUAAAGAAACUUCGAUUCCCGAAUCUGAUAUGAUUGAUUUGUUUUUAUUCAAGGUUGCCUUUUCGGAUUACCGUGCCCCGGUUUUGCUGCUUUGGAAUCCCUAGGUUGCCGGCUAUAAAACGCGACCUUCUAGCUUCCCUAGGUAAUCAUUGGGUUGCAGCCGCCGAGACGCUAUAAAGGUAGAGCCUCCCUCCUUCGUUUUUCUUUUUAAUUUCUCUCUCGCUUCUUCUAUUUUUCUCUGUUUUGCCCGACGCUUCUCCUCGCCGUAUCUUCUGCUACUUCCACUCCGUUCCCAAACUAAGCUUAAGCAUGUCGCCGCCCAAGCAAACUCCAAAAGCCGGAGACGCUUCCCUCUCCAGUCAAUUCGGCCCGCAUCCCAGGUCGACGAUAGGCGAGGAAGAUUUAGUACACGUAAAGUUCCUCUGCGGCCUUACGUCUGAGACGGAGCUCAUCGCUCCUGGGGAUGAUCUGUCGCUGGAGGAUCCUCCUCCCGGGUACUGCUGUGCCUACGAGAUAUUUUUCUCAAAGUGCGGCCUAUAUUUUCUGCUGCCGGAGCUUCUGGUGAAGGCGAUGUUCGCCCUCGGCAUCACCCUCCCCUAGCUAUGUCCGAACUUCGUCCGGACUAUUCUUUGUCUGCAGACCUUAGCCGAAGAGCACGGCUACAUCAUCACCUUCCAGGACAUCCUCCACCUUUACACAAUAAAGAGUGGCCGGACUAGAGGGACCUUCUAUCUCAGCCCGCUGGCCGGGUUCCGAGUCUUUGACGACUUCCCUGAGAAAGACGAACAGUACCGAAGUGGGUAUUUCUUCUUCCCGGUUAACCGGGCCACCUUCGGUGAUUUGCAGGAGCUGCUUGUCCCGCACUGGUCUCAGAAACCUGGUAGAACUGCGAGAAGAUUCGAAAAUUUCUUGCUAUCACCUAUCAGUUCGGGGUACUAACUCGUUUUCUCUUCUCCUUUUUUUUUAGCUUCCCUUGAGCGCGGACCAUUAUCUCAAACCUUCGCGAACUAUUUCGUUACCUUCUGCAGUGCUGAAACUGCGUGGGACUCCUUCACCUGCCCCCAUAUCCGUGAGGCAGGUGCCCGCAUCCGUACUAGGUUUCUUACUAUCUCUUCUCCUCAGUCUGCCCCUCCCAAGAUGAACUACCGCGAAGAGAGGGCUCACAAGAAAAAGAUGGAGCUGAAAGAGAAUGAACUAAAGAAGAAAAUGGUUCGCGAGGUGAUCACUCUGCCCGACAGCGACCUCAGCGCUGAAUCUCCUGCCGCUCGCCCAGCUCCUGAAGAGGGUCAAGCCAGCGGGUCAAAGAAGCGGAAAGCCGCGGAACCCGCUUGUCCGGUACGUUCGAGCUCCAAGCCAUGAGCUGAGGAGAAGCCCGCCGAGACCCCUGCCCCGAAGGGCUCCUUGCCUGCGGCUCCGAGUUCCGCUGAUCCGAAGGCAACUCCGAGGCGCGAACUCCCGGGUAAACUACUUACUGAUAGCUCACUUCUAAUACACGAGCAACCCCGAGCUAACAUAAAAGCUUCAUUUUUAGCUCCUCCAAAAUCCUUGGCUGACAUGAUGCGGAGCUCGGGUCCCCGCCUUCAAGGACAUGUCCGUGAACAACCGGGAGGACUACUUCCGCUUCGCCGAGAAGGUCGGCGAGGUAAGCCUACUCCCUUUUGCUUCGCAAGUGGCUGCACCUUCACCCUUGUAAACACUUUCCUGUCUUUGGCAGAUGCUCUUUGAGUUUAACAGCUCGGAGGUGAAGAAGGUGAAGAAGUACUAGUCCCUGGAGGCCUCCAAGUUCAACAAGAAGCUCAACCUGCAGAUCGCCGAAUCCUACGUGGAGGCUUGUCAAGACAAGCUAAAGCUGGCUGGGGAGCUGUACCUGAAGGCGACCACUGCCGAGACAGAGGCAAAGAAGGAACUCCAGGAGAUCAAACUAAGAAAUCAGCUCCUGGAAGCAGGGAACAACUCCGAGAUGGAGAGGGUGCGAAGAGAGGAGCGGAGGAAAACGUGAGCCGAGCUCCGAGAAACAAUCGACAAAAUUGGGUCGCACCUCGAGGAGCAUGACCGCUUAAUGCCCCAUGCAAGCCGAGCUGCUGAGAUCACCGCCAACCGGAUGUUGGUGGAAGAGAUCGAGAAGGGCGAGAUUGCCGACCUGAAGGAGGAGCUCAAAACCUUGAAAGCUGACAAGAAGGCUGCUCGCCUUGAGGCUGAAAAGGUAAAGGACUUAACGUUUGAUCCUGCAUCGUAUACUGCUAUAUUGGCAGAUACCCCCCCCACCCCCCCCCCCCCGAACUCGGGCCUGACCCCGCUCCUGCUCCCCUUAUGAUCGAGGAGCCUACUUCUGACCGCCUGUUAUACCGAACCAGGAACUGGAGGCAAUCUAGCCGGACCUCAGCAAGGAGGUAAACGCUUUUAUGAACCCCGGGGGUGAUGAAGCUCUUGUUGGCGAGGCGAGUGGCACCCCUUUGGCCUGCCCCGAAGACCUUGCCGCGGGCUCCGUGCUUACUUAACUUCCUAUUCGGGGUUGUAUUGGGCUUAGACCCCCCCUUUUGUUUAUUGCUAUCAUUACUUUUGCUUUCGGUUGCUUUUUGCUUAUUUUACGAACUUCCUAAGAUUCAUGCACGUGUUUUUGACCACGGAGGUCACACUCUUAUAAUUGCUUCAGACUCUACUAAGUUUGCUUUAUAUCGUUUUUAAGAUGUGGCAACACUUUAUUACCAUCUUGCUUAAAAAGAACUUAUAUUAUUAUUAGCUGGACUCGACAAACCGAGCUGCCUACGUACCCAAAAAGGGGAUCAAGCACACCGUAGUUCGAUUACAAGUGUUUAUCACUACUUUUUUUUAAAGGUGUAGAAUCGCUUAAGAUGCAGGGCAUUCCACGACCUGGGGACCUUCUUUCCGGACAGUUCCUCGAGGCGAUAAACCCCGUUACGCACCUCAGCAACAAUUUUGUAACGGCCCUCCCAAUUCACACCAAGUUUUCUGGCGUUAAGCUCUCUUGUAUUUUCGUAAACUUUUCUUAGCACAAGAUCGCCCACGUUGAGAUCGCGACCCCUUACUCUUGAGUUGUAAUACUUCGCGAUCGUGCUCUAGUAAUGCUGCAAACGAACUAAAGCCCGAUCGCGUUUCUCCUCGAUGAAAUCGAGGGCAUCCCGAAGAGAUUCUUCAUUCUCUUCGGGCAUCGUGGGGUUCGUGGUUACCCGGACUCCUGGUACAGCGAGCUCUGCUAGGACUACCGCCUCUGUCCCAUACACCAGCAAAAAAGGGGUUUCAUGCGUUGCCCGCCGAGGCGUCGUUCGGAUUGCCCAUAAUACGCCUUGUAGUUCCUCGGCCCACCGACCCUUAUAUGAAUCCAGCCGCUUCUUUAGGUUAGCCAAAAUUACUUUAUUCAUAGCUUCGGCCUGGUCGUUCCCUUGUGGGUAGUGGGGUGUAAACUUGCUCAACUGAAUCUUCUAGUGGGCACAAAAUGCUUCGAACUGCCUCGAUACGAACUGCGACCCAUUAUCCGUUACUAUCUCGUACGGGAGUCCGUGACGGCAAAUCACAUCAUUCCAUAUGAACUGCUGGACCUGAGAACUCGUUACGACGGAAUACGCGGCCGCCUCUACCCACUUGGAAAAGUAAUCGGUGAGGACUAGCAGGAACCUCACCCCCCUCGUCGAGUUGUGCAAAGGCCCUAUUAUGUCCAUCGACCACCUCAUGAACGCGUAGGGAGCCGAGAUUGACGACAUGAGUUCCGAGGGUUGAUGAAUAGUGGGGGCGUGCCUUUUGCACCUCUCGCAAUUUCUUACAAACUCUUCACAGUCCGCUUUCAUCGUUGGCCAAAAGAAACCGUACCGCUUGAUUUUGAUUACCAGUGUUCGGGCCCCUGCGUGAUCCCCAUUGGGUCUAUCGUGGACCGACCGCAUCACUAUCCUUGGCGACUUCCCGGCGAUGCAAGUUAAAUAAGGACCUCUGACACUGCGACGGAGUAGACCCUCAUUGUGCAGACAGAAUCGGGCCGACACGGUUCUAAUCUUCCGAGCCUGCCAUUUAUCUUGGGGCAGCUCACCUUCCCUUAGGCAGUCUAGGAUGGCGGCUCUCCAGUUCACUCCUUGGUCCUUCUCUGGGAGCCCCGAGGGGUCCUCUGGCCCUUCCUCCCCAGGCUCCUCACGGCAAGGGAAUCAGGCUGCUGGGGUCCCAGCCGGCGCUUCGGAGUUUUCCUCACUUUCAGGAGCAGGGAGAUCCCCCGGCAAUGAAACGUUCCAUCAAGGUCUAACGGCCUUGGUAGGGACGUCGGGUAGUUCAUGGACUAUGGUUCCUGCUACUCGGGAACGCGGUUCAGCUCUUCAGCUACGAGAUGAACCGCGUUCUUUGCUUGAUGGAGCUCAUCGAUUGUUAUAUCCGGCAUUCCCCCGUUCAUGAACCUCUCAGCGAGUAAGUUCAUGAGUUUUUUGCAGUUCCGGGUAGCGUGCCCAGCCACCUUGUGGAGUUCGCAAAAAGAAUCGUCUUCCUUCUCCUCCCGGGUCUACUUAUUGUUUGGUAAGGCCCCGUUUCUGCCUCGUGGUCCGAAUCCUUGUUUCGACGGGGCGCCCUUUGGACCCCCCUUCUGGUGGUCCACCGCGAAAGUGGCUGGUCCCGGCCUUUGUCCCUGCACGCUCCGUCUAGCUCCCUGAUCGAAGCUCGGCUUGGGAGUUACUUUGUACUUCUUGGCGAGUGCGGCUUUCUACUCCUCCGCUACGAUCCAGUUCGAUGCCCGAUGAAGGGCGUCCUGGAUACUAGAAGGGCGGUUAACCGUCAGCUCUUCCCUGAGUCAAGACUCGUGCCACAACCCAUUUUUAAGGGCGGACAAUGCCGCCGAGUCGGAGAGUCCGGGAAUCUGGACCAUUAUUUCUUUAAACUUUGUGAUGUAAGACCGAAGUGAAUCGUUCGGACCCUGGCUCAAAUUCCACAACUGAGCGUCGGUCACACCUACUCCUAUGAAACUCGAAUAUUGCUUCACGAAUGUAGUGGAGAGCUGAGUGAAGCUGUCGAUCGUCCCUUCUUGAAGCGAGGCAAACCACAGGAGGGCUGGUCCGACGAAUUUUUCGGCAAGAGCUUACAAUACCCCGCAUCCUCCUCAUGAGGCUUAAAGUCCACCCUUCCUACCGUAAGGAGGAAAGUGUGGAGGUGAACUUUAGGGUCACCCUUUCCUUCAUAGCUGAGAAAUUUAACCUUUCGCGCAUCCUUAAUGCGCAUUGUCGAGAUUCUAGGCGAGAAAGGAGUCCUCUUCGACUCCUCGAUAACUCGAUCGAUAUCCGAGGCGGAGCUCGUCGCGUGGUGGACCUUUGACUGCAUGGCUCGGAUCUCAUUCUGGAGGAUUGAAAUUUCCGGAUUGGGCAUGACCACCGCCCUGUCCUGGGUCGGAGUACGGAUGCGGCCAGGCGUGGAGCUCCUACUCGCGGGAGGAUGAGUUUCCUGGCCGGGGUACGGAAUGGCCGUCCCUUGCGGAGGUGCUAAUGCCGACAAACCAGCCUCUCUUGGCUGGUUUUCUGCCGAGUUCACAGCGACUGGGGGAACUGGUCGCCCGCUCCCCGGGGACGUCGCUGGUAACCCCCCACCAAAAUCGAGCAUAUGGGACCGGCGGAGCGUGGUACUGACACAUGUCCCUUCCACAAGCGCGUCCACUUGGGCUGCGUAAGCGUUGUGAGCGUUGGACAGCUCGGAGACGGUUUCGGACAAGGCGGCCACCUGAGCGGUGGACCGCUCCUCGAAUCCUCCGAGCUUCUCCGAGAGCGCAGCUGUAGCUAACUGCUGCUGCUCUGUCUUCCCGGAUAAAUCCUGCAAUAACUUCUGAAUAGAAACGAGGGUUACCUGACUAUCAUCGCUCGACAUUUUGCUAGAAUGAGGACGGAAGGUUGGAAACAGGGAAUCGGUGGGUUAGGGAAUAAGAAUCCCCACAAACGGCGCCAAAAUGUGGGAGCUGAAAUCCACGAACUGAAAACGGAGUGAACUCGAGUGGGCUCCUAAUUCCCUGUCCGAACUAGUGAACAGAAUUGCGAAAUGAUUGAGAGAAAAUUGCUUAGUUUUAUUUAGUAUCUUUUGCCAAAAAUACGACCCCUUUACACUUUGUUUUUCCUCCUACUUAUACUACUCUGGCAAGCAUUGAACGCGCAGCGAACUUUGCUCCGCGAAUCGCGCCAUUCUCAUUAAGGCGCCGCUUGACCCGCUGAUAGCCCGUUUUGAUUCUCCUUUCAAACCUUCAGCUCCUACUGGACUCCGCCUGAUGGGCUGGGCAGUUCCAAUAAUGGACCUUCGCCAACGGGCCUAAACGGAAUGGGCUGUUAGCCCGGAACGCCAAUUUCGGUACCCACACCACUAAUUUUUAUUCUAUGUUUAAUUUUAAGGUUAAUCGUACGGUUAACUAACGGUUUUAUACGGUUACGGUUGAUAACGAUUACGAUUAAUAUUUUUUAUAACUGUGACAGAUUUAUUUUUACAGUUAACGGUUAUGGUUUUUAACCGUUUUAUACGGUUAUGGUUGAAAAACGGUCUGGUUAUAGUUAGAAAUACGAUUAAAAUAAGAUUUUAGUCAUUCUUAACGUUGGUCAAUGCCGAUCAAAAUUGGUCAACGCCAUAUUUCAGCGAUAAAGUCACCAAAAAAAUGGUUAUUGUAUUGUAUACAUAGCUUAUGCUUGUUUAUUUAUGUCCUUAUGUAAUAACAAUAGUUCAUGUAAUUAACGAACAAUUAUACCAUUUACAUGUAUGUUGCUGAGAAUGAUUUUUUCAAUUUUAAAUAAACAAAGCCGGACUGAACUCAUAAACCUUUUUUAACACCCGAUAACACAUUAUGCUCAUUCUUGAGUUUACAUCUUUUCAUUUUAUUCACGUUUGACUUUAUUUUUUGUUUCUAUAAACUCGACCGACUUCAAAUAAACUAGCAUCUUAUUUUUAUUUUUUUAUUUUUUUUGCUAAGAAUGUAAAUAUCAUUUCAUGAAAUGAAAGUUUAAGUAUUACAUCAAGUAAUUCCUAAAUACAUGGUUCUAUGCCAAAAAAGUUUAAAAAACAUAGAAGCAUAAACAUUCGAGCUUCAAAUCAACAUCUAAAACCACAAGCAGUAAAACUAAUUGGACGUCGAGAAGAGAACUCGAUAAAAUGACUCCCCUAAGGAAAAGAAGGCAAGAAACAAGAGCAGAAAGGGAAAUAGGUGGACAUCAGACUGUUGUGGAAGCGAAGCGGAAGUCCCUUCAACGUGAGCCCGAAACCAAAAAAAGCUGCGGAGCAUCACGAGCUAAAGGUGGCACGCAAUGCUGUUCUCUACCGAGACCCCAACAGUAGCGCGAACAAAGCAACAUCAUAUCCUCCAAAAGCCACAUACUAACACCUCCAAAAUGCAAAGAACAAUCACAGUAAACCACAACCAAACUGAAGUUUCACUAGCCACUACAAAUACUUAGCUGAUGAAAGAGAGCGAAAGGCAUUGAAGGAGGUGAACCAAGGUAGCAGAAUAAACUCAAACAUCAAGUAGCAAAGCCAACAAGCGCGACAUAGCCGGAGUUGCGUGGACAUGCCAUCGAAUCUGCGACACAAGGCUAACCUCAAAACCUGUAUCAAGCAAAGACAACUACUCCUUCCAGCCGAAACUCACUAGAAUCCUGAACAAGCAGAAAGAGACUCGGGCAAAUCAAGUCUAAAGCAUUAAGUCUGCAAUGACUUGGGAGAUGGCACGAAUAGCGAUGGAACCUGGUGACCAAAGGAGCAAGAGAAGUCGGCUCUUGAAAGGAGGCCAUACAAAUAACAACAAUCUUCAUGAAUAAUUCAUUCCCUUUGCAGACCUAUGAGCUGAAGAUCGGAACAACCAGGAUUCUGCAACCUAAUCACUAACCACACCAACCUAAACUCCAACAAACAACAGAGCUCACUGUACUCAACGAAGAGACAAUAAGACAGGGAGACCAACGACUCUAAUUCACAGAGCGGCAGCAGUGGCGAACAGCUUGAAGACUAGCAGCAAACGAAGGAAGGAGGAGAGCAGAAGCUUACCAACACAAAGGCGGAGUAACAAAACACCGCCAAACCUCUACCAAAGGAAGAUCCGCCGCACGCCAAAGGGAAGGAGAAGAGUGAUGAAAGAGACCACAAAUCUACAAACCACUUGCCAGAAAUGACCAUAGCACCACUUGAUAAUAAAAUCAAGAAGUCGAGCGAAGCUAAACAACACUCAAAAUCACCGAGGUUCACCGCGUGUACAGACGUCCUAAAAGUCACCGUCUUCAAGCAACCAUAUAAGGAGCGAGCACGCCGUGGCGGUGAAUUCGCCGAAAACGCUGAAAGGUCCCCAACAAGUCGACGCCUUUUCAAUCGAAGGAAGAGUUUCCAGAGAACGAAGCCACUUAGAUCUGUCACCAACGCUCGUCAAAUCACAGUUGUGAAGGUGCCCAACCGAUGAACGGAGAACCGAGAAGCCCUCUCACGGCCAUGGCGAGAGGCGCCAAUGACCGGAGAGGCAAGAACUGCGGCAGAUCUAGGUUUUACAAGCAGUGGUUGUCGGGGGGGG
rnacentral:lncRNA from 1 species